GGUUUUCAGUGUUCUACUUUUACUUGUUGGCAAAUACUACAUUUUCCACGUAACUAGCCACUUCUUUUCUUAUAUUUGGCCACCAGUAGUAUUGUUUUAGAUCCUGGUACAUCUUAGUACUACCUGGAUGUAUAGUGAACUUAGACUCGUGAGCCUCUCAUAGUAACUUUUGUUUAAGGGCUCUGUUGUCAGGCACAUACAUACGUCGCCCCAACAUCACUAGUCCAUCAUCACCCAUUCAAAAAAGAGUUCCACCCCCCGAUUCCAAUUUGAUUCCUACUUUUAACACCUCAUCAUCAAGUUGUUGUGCCUCUAAUAUUUGCUCUCGAUAUCCUGACUUCACCUUUAGUUGAGCCAUUAAGGAUCCUUCCGGACUAACACUUAAUAUUGCUCCCAAUCUCUUUAGUCCAAUCAUGGUUUCCUCAUUCCAAGUCGCUGGUCCACCCUUAAUUGCCUUGUGCUUACGGCUAAGAGCAUCCGCGACUACAUUCGCUUUUCUUGGAUGAUAAUCUAUAAUGCAGUCGUAAUCUUUAAUUAAUUCUACCCAUCUCCGUUGUCGUAUAUUCAACUCUUUCUGUGACAUUAGAUAUUUAAGGCUCUUAUGAUCCGUGAAAAUUUGAACCCGGGAUCCGUAUAAGUAGUGCCUCCAUACUCGUAAAGCAAAAACUACUGCUGCCAAUUCUAAGUCAUGAACUGGGUAGUUGACUUCAUGAGUCUUCAGUUGUCUCGAUGCAUAGGCAACUACUUUUCCAUGUUGCAUUAGAACAUAACUCAAUCCUUUUCUUGAAGCAUCACUAUAGACUACAAAGCCUUCUGUUCUAGAUGGAAGGAUUAGUACGGGAGCAGUAGUAAGUCUUCUCUUCAAUUCUUGAAAGCUCUCAUCGCACUCCUUUGACCACUCCCAUCUUAUGUUCUUCCUGGUGAGUCGUGUCAGUGGAGUUACUAUCAUUGAAAACCCUUUGAUAAAUCUUCUAUAAUACCCUACCAAUCCGAGAAAACUAUGAAUUUCAGUUACCGUAGUAGGCUUUUCCCAUUUCAAAACUGCUUCCACCUUCUGAGGGUCCAUAAAAAUGCCUUUUGAAGACACCACAUGCCCUAAAAAGGUAACUUCUUUUAACCAGAAGUCACAUUUAUCCAACUUGGCAUACAAUUGCGACUCCUCAGAGUCUGUAGUGUCUGUCUCAGGUGUUGUUCAUGCUCCUCAUAGGAUUUGGAGUAAACCAAGGUGUCAUUGAUGAAUACGACAACAAACUUAUCAAGGUAUGGUUGGAAUACUCGGUUCAUUAAAUCCAUUAAAAGUGCUGGAGCAUUAGUUAAUCCAAAGGGUAGCACUAAGAACUCAAAGUGUCCGUAGCGAGUUCUGAAGGCAGUUUUCGACACAUUUUGCCCCUUGAUUCGCAUUUGGUAGUAUCCUGAUCUUAAAUCAAUCUUUGAGAAUACUUUGGCACCCUUCAACUAAUCGAAAAAAUCAUCUAUCCGUGGAAGUGGAUAUCUGUUCUUUACCGUCACUUUAUUCAGCUGACGGUAAUCUAUGCAAAGCCUUAACGUUCCAUCUUUCUUCUUUAGAAAUAAUACAGGUGCCCCCCAAGGUGAGUUGCUUGGUUGUAUGAACCAUUUGUCUAAAAUCUCCUGCAAUUGAAUUUUCAACUCAUCUAAUUCUUUUGGGGCCAUUCUAUAUGGUGGUUAGGCUUUAGGAGACACCCUAGACAAUAUCUCUAUGGUGACUUCAACUUCUCUUUCUGGGGGUAGUCUUGGCAAUUCUCUCGGAAAUACGUUCGGAAAUUCCCUCAUAAUUGGAAUGUUAGACAACCCUAUUUUACCCUUUUUCGAAUUUAUCACAUAGGCAAGGUAUGUUGUACAACCUUUCUUUAGUAGUUUUCUCGCAACCAUACCCGAGAUCAUAUUUGUAAAGUUGGAAAUUCUCUCCCCCUUAAAGACCAUUGUUUCACCCUUAGCCCCUUGGAAGGUUACUGUUUUUGUAAAGCAGUCUAGACGAGCCUUAUUUUCCCCAACCAAUUCAUACCUAGAAUUAUAUCAAAAUCACUUAAUUCUAGGGGUAUUAAAUCUGCUUCUAGUUCACACCCAUUAAUGUUAAUUCCCACCCCUUCAAAUACAACAUUUGUUUCCGCAGUUUCACCUAAAGGUGUCCUAAUAAUAAAUCCUUUGUCUACCCUUUUUGUUUCUUUACUUAAUUUGGUUACACUUUUAUUUGCUAUAAAGGAGUGAGUGGCACCAAAAUCAAACAAAACAUGCAUUUGAUAAUCAUUCAUUUGCAGCAUACCUGCCACCACAUCUGAUGCUGCUUUGACAUCCUCCUGGGUCAUAUGGAAAACCCUUCCUUGAUCCCUUUCAUUUUGCACUCUAGAUCGUCCCCUAUUUGAGUUAGCUCCUGACUAAGUCGAUCUUCCCGGUCUGUUUACUGUGAUGGACUGCUGAUGACUCUGGCUUUGCUGCCUAUGUCUCUGAGGCUAUUCAGUGCUUAAAUGGGGGCAUUCCCUUUUAAAGUGACCCUUCUCACCACAAUGAUGGCAUCGUCUUUCCAAGUAUUGACAGGUUUUCCACUUAUGACCUUCUCCUCGACAUAUAUAGCAUCGUCCAGGAGAAACCCUACAACUCCCGGGGUGUCUUUGUUCACUCUGAGCACAUCGAGGGUAGACAAUUUCCUUCUGAUCAUUAUGCUCCCUUGUAGCUAUAGCCCUGGAGUGGGUCUAACCACUUCUCGACCUCCCACCGAUAUCCUGUCGGAAGCUGGUUGACGUCUCCCCUUUCUUUUUGAAUUGAAGGAAAUGUUCGCCUCUACCUUUCUUUGGAAGCGGCGGCUUACCUAAAAAUUCUAUAUCCUUUCAUUUUCCUGCACCCCCAUGACUCUGUUGGCCUUCUUCCAUACAAGCCUCCAAGGCCUGUGCUGCUUUAAUCAGUUCCCUUAUUGUUUUGAAUUGUAAAGCAAUCAACCCCUGCUUCAAUUCUUGUCUGAAGCCAUCCCUUAACUUUUCUAUCAUGUGUUGUUCUAAUAGGACAUAAUAUUGCGUGAAUAGUGAGAGGUCAUGAAAUCAUCGCUCAUACUCAAGUACUGACGUUCUCUCCUGUCUCAAGGCUAGAAAUUCCUGUUCUUUCAUCUUCCGAUGAUAUCUGGAGUAAUAUUGAUUCUUAAACUCUAUCUUGAAAUCAUACCAGGAUAGGGUUUUUGUAGCCCUCCUCAACUGAACUGUCUCCCACCAAGUCAUAGCACCUUAUGAUAGUAAUUAAGUAGCACAAUCUACCUGCAGAUCAUGUGGUAUCUUAAUUUGAACCAUGGUUUUCUCCACCUUUCUAAUCCACCUUCCCGCCACUUCAGCAUUCUGUUCACUUGAGUAGGGUUCACAACCCAUUUCUCUCAUACUUUUCACCAAACGAACUAGUUGUACCACGUCAUUAGUAGUUGUAGCUGCUUUUGAAACGGUUGGUAUGAUGGGUGCAAGUGGGGGUGCUAGCAUAGAAGUGGCAGCAUUAGCCAUACCUUCCAUUACUGCUUUGACUAGCUGGGCCAAGAGCAUCGAAUCAACAUAAGAAAUAGAUGGCCCUACAGGUGUAGUCUGAGGGGGCUCCUCUACUUGUUCCUGUGGGGCUGACAUGGUCGGCCAAACAUCCCCAAUUUAUCUUGGUGCUUGUCUAAUUUGAGGCCCCGACGAUUCUUCGUGCCUUGCUUGAGUCGAUACUAUCGGUACAUGUGAGGCAGUAUCUUCCAAAGGGCUCUCUUCUUGCCCCUCGGAAGAAUCUAUAUUUCUAUUCCCCCUCCCUGUAGAGGAUAGAUCUGUUCUAAUCUCUUGACGUACAUACCAUCCUGCAAUAAAUUAAUAAACAUCAACAACCUCUUUUGAUUUCUUUCUAGAACCUAUACCAGGGCUCUGAUACCAACUGUAACAGUUCAAAUGUACGACUCGAUCAAUGUAAAAAAUUCCAACAUAUCCUCUUUAUUUUAGGGUAAAUGUUUUUUUCUUUUUUCUUUUUUCAAAAAUUCGGCAGAGUUUCGUUUGCAUUUAGGACAUCCCAAGUUAUCGACUACUAUCAGUUUACUCAAUCAACCCACCAUCACAAGGUCCCAUAAUUCCGGACCUUAUAUCAAACCUCAUAAUUCCACACAAUAUAUAUAUAUAUAUAUAUACACACGAGUAAGAUAAAUAUGAACAUAGUCCAAACAUCACAUCAUAAAAUUUAAAAGAAAAGGAAUAUUGACAUGCAAAGAAAAUAUUUACAACCUAAUAAGUGUCCCUAAAUGUUUCAAAAGGGUUAAUUACAAGAUAACUAAAAUACAAAAUGCUAAGCUGAACUUUUAUAAUUACAUCAAGGUUUACACAAAUGUAUACUACAUAUCACGUUACUUCCCUUUUGCUUUAAAUAUUUACAUAAGCAUCAUAAAGUAGAGUCCUAAACUAAGGAUCUUCCUGGAUGUUUGAUGGGCCUGUACAUAAAUAAACAUACCAUUAUGUUGAUAAAAAAUAUAUUUAUGCUCAUGUAAUGAAUACGAAUGAAGUAUUAACUUUCUAUCGAAUCCAUGAGAAUUCUAACAAGGAACUUAUAAUUUGCUUGUAAAUCUUUUGAACCCAAUUAACACUCAUUUGUAUAUUCUUAGAUGAAUAAUCUUAUUUACUUGCAUACACUGGGUGACCUUGCAAAGUCUAAUCUUGUAAUUUAUUUCCUAGCAAUCCUAUCACGGAUCUCAUUAGCCGAAGCUAAUCUUGUAAUUCACAUCCCGACAAUCCUAUCACGGAUGCCAUUAGCCGAAGCUAAUCUUGUAAAUCACAUCCCGGCAAUCCUAUCACGGAUACAAUCUUAUCACGGAUGCAAUUUGCCGAAGCUAAUCUUGUAUUUACGCUAGAUUUUAUUUAUAUUGAACACGAUAUUUACUGUAACUGCAUACACCAGAAAAAUUUUAAAUUAUAUAAGUGCAAAUAGGAGGAAAAAUCACGCACCUGCUUCGCCUGUCUCGCGACCUCCCCUAACAGAAGAUCCAAUCCUGGUUGCUCCUCCUGAAUCACAAGGAAGUUUUUUGGUUAUGAUUCCUUCAAGCCCAUAUUAUAGAGAAUUCAUAUUCAUCCAUUACUCAUAUGUUACUUUCUAUGCAUGUUCAUUUCCUCAUAAUAACAUACAUACAUAUCUCAUAUAUAUUUUCAGAGUUAGUAUCUCAAUGUGUAAGUGUUCAUAUGACUCAAUUCUUUUAUAUUCUUAUUUAUAGUAUUCACGUGAAAGUCUAUUGUUACUGUCCAAUUUCCAAAUGUCACUGUCUCACUUUGAAUUGUCACUGUCCAAUUUCUGUCUCACUUUGAACUGUCACUGUCCAAUUUCCAACUGUCACUGUCUCCCUUUGAAGUGUCACUGUCCAAUUUCCAACUAUCACUGAUUAGUACUUAAAAGUGCAUAUUUAUCAAGGUUUUAUAUCAUCAUUUUGUACUUAAAGUAUCAAUAACUCCUUAACUAAAGCAUGUUUUAUAAUAACAAGUCUAAUACUAUAAAAUGCCUUAAUAUAUGGUAAAUGUUCAUCUUAAAUGUAGGCCUAUCAUAUAAAUCAAAGGAUUGAUUGAUGAGUUCAAGUAUGGAAAUUGAAAGGACAAUGAGAGGGUGAAGCUUAGAAAAGAGAUGUUGGUGCAGUCCAAACUGGAACACUGUUCGGUAAUUGGGUCAUAUCUCGAGUUCUAGAUAUCAAAAUGAUCUCAAAUUUUUAUAAAAAAAAUUCAGUAAGACAUAGGCCUACAACUUUCAUGUUUUCAUCAAGAUCUAAGAAGGCCGUUUCCAAGUCCAAAUUAUAGCAACAACGGAAAAGUCCAAAUCUGUCCUACAGCCCGAACACUGUUCAGUGUUUGACCCAUAUCUGAAGUUUUAGAAGUCCAAAUCACCUCCAUUUUUUUCCCUGGAAAGCUGAGUCAAUUUCCUACAACUUUCAUGUUUUCAAGUGGACCCAAUUCUGAUGCUAGCAUUUUUGUUUUAUUCAGACAAGAAGAUAAGGAUUUUCACAAAGUCAAAAGUUGGUCACCCACUCAACAAUUAGUCAUCAAAUCAAUAAUUCCGAAUUUUGACCUAUAAAAGGAGGCAUUUGCCAUGUAUUUGUGAGCUUGGUAGUUCAGAUCAAGUUCAUGCUAUUUAUUUCUCUCUUUAUAUUUUUUGUAAUUCUUAAGUUUUGCUUUUAUUAAUUUCUUGUUUAUGCUUUUCAUUUCCUUUCCUUUCCUUAGUUAACUUGUAUCUUAUUUAUGUUCUUGUUUUGUUUAUUUAUGUUUCUCUUCUUCAUUAUGUUUAGCUAAGUUUAUUAUGUCAAGGUGAAAAGGUUACACUAAUGGUGUAAGAAUAAGUAUAGUGUAAACUCAACAUGGACCUUAAUGUUUAAUAUUAACAUGUCUUAUCUUUUUAUCUUACUAAUUCUUAAUACCUUGCUUGUUAAAUGGUUAAUCUAGAUUUGUGUUGUAUAAUACUUGGUACAACAAAUGCUUUGCACUCUUAUAGCCCAACCAUAUGGUAUUACCUACACCUGAGCUAUGAAAGGAACUUGAUUUGUUGUUAACAUCAAUUAACAUCAUGAAUUCCUGAUAAUAUUUAAAAGUUUGGUGUUAUAUAAAUAAGAUAAUUAAUAUGAUCAUGUUAAUAAUUUAUAAUGAGCUAUUAAUGAGAAAUCAUCCGAUUGGAACCUCCUUUGUUUGUGGUUUCCAAUUGAAUAAUAAGAGUUUAUACUAUACUUGUUUGAAAUACCAUUAGUGGAUCCUCUAACCUUGACAUUUAUUUUUAUCAUUGUUUAAUCCUUACAUUAAUCUUUCAUCUCAAAGUUCUCAUUAAUUUCUUCAUCUUCUUCUUUAACUACUACUACUACUACUAUUACUACUACUACUACUACUUGUGUUGUUGUUGUUAUUAUUAUUAUUAUUAUUAUUAUUAUUAUUAUUAUUUACGUUCUGUUUAUAUUAUAUAAUAUAUAUCUUUGAUCUUUUCAUAAACUCAGUAUAUAGGCUCAAAACCUGUGACCCGAUCUUUUAGAUCAUUCUCAGGUAUAACAAUGCCACAUACUGAGUAUUAUUAUUAUUAUUAUUGUUAUUGUUAUUGUUAUUGUUGUUGUUGUUGUCUUGUUAUUUAUAAUUUAUACAAUUAACCUCUCUGUGGUUCGACCCCGGUCUUGCCGGGUUAUUUAUUACUUCGACACUCCUGCACUUGGGAGAAGACAUCAAUCUUUUGGUCGUGUCAAGUUUUUGGCGCCGUUGCCGGGAGGUAAAUUCUUGUACAAAUUAUAGUAUUUAUUUUUUUCUCUUUUCACUUUUCUUAUCUAACUUUUUUCUUUUUUUGUUUGUUUCUUUUUUUUUUUUCUUCUUCCUUUUAUUCUCUUUCUACACGUGCAUGUUUGGUCACGUACAUUAAGUGGUAGACUUUGUAGGGUAUCCUCAUCAUUUUCAGAAAAUAUGGCCGAAGAAGAUAACCAAUCACUUCAUAAUGAGAAUAAUGAGAAUAAAGAAUCCGUUAGGACACUUAGAGACCACAUGAAUCCCACAAGAACAAGUGCACCCUCAUGCAUAGUUUUCCCUCCUGAUGCAUCCAUUUUAAUUUUAAGCCAGACAUUAUUCAACUUUUACCUUCUUUAUGGCUUAGAUCUAGAAAAUCCAUACUUGCAUUUGAGAGAAUUUGAAGAAGUUUGUAAACCUAUAAUGACUUAAAUUGUAGCAUGAAUACCAUUAGAUUAAAGCUUUUUCCUUUUUCAUUAAAAGAUAAAGCUAAAACAUGGCUACAAAAUUUAGGUCAGGAUCCAUUCGUGCUUGGGAUGAAAUGCAACAACAAUUUUUAAAGAAGUUUUUUCCAUCUCACAGAACAACUCUUUCAAAAGACAAAUCACACUUUCACUCAAAAACCAGGAAACAUUUUACCAAUGUUGGGAUAGGUAUCGAGACUUGCUUAAUACUUGCCCUCAUCAUGGUUUUGAAACAUGGAGAUUGGUUUCACAAUUUUAUGAAGGUUAACACCUAAGAUAGGCAAAUGGUUGAAUUGAUGUGCAAUGGAACUUUUGAAGAUAAAGACCCUAAUGAAGCAAUGGAGUACCUAGACUUGCUAGCUGAAAAUGCUCAAAAUUGGGACACCAAGGUACUUAUGAGGCACCAAGUAAAACCAACCUCAUACAUCUAGUGGAGGUAUGCAUAACCUUAGGGAAGAUCAUGACCUCCAAGCCAAGUUUGCAUCUUUAGCUAGAAAAGUCGAGGCACUAGAAUUGAAAAAGAGUGGUCAAUUAAAAUCUGUUCAAGACAUUGUGUGUCAAAUCUGUGAAACAAAUGAACAUGCAACCAAUGAUUGUCCAACUUUGCCUUCUUUCAAGGAAUGCCUCCAUGAACAAGCCCAUGCUUUAAACAGUUUCCAAAGGCCCAAUCAUAACCCAUACUCGCAAACAUACAACCUGGUUGGAGAAAUCACCCAAAUUUUAGUUGGAAGAGUGAUAACAAUAAUGCACAAACUUCACACCACCGUUUCAAGCACACCAUAAUUUCCAAAAUUCUCAUGGAUAUGCACCUCCUUAUGCUCCACCUCCUAGAAGAAAUCUUGAGGAAACAUUGCAUGCAUUCAUUGAAAAGCAAGACAAUCAACACUCAACUUGCUCAAAGCAUGACAUUUUAAAGAUGCUCUUGCAAAAUUAACAUCUGCUCUCAGUUUCAAGAGAAAGGUAAGUUUCCAUCUCAACCACAACAAAAUCCAAAGGGGCAAUACAAUGCAAAUGCAAGUAGUUCUGGAAGCCAACACAUGGAUCAAGUCAAAUCAGUCAUCACUCUUCGUAGUGGUAAGGUUAUUGAAAAACCCACUUGAACCUUGUGAGAAAGAUGAUGAGUCAUCUCUGAGGGUAAGGAAGGGGUUGAAUGAACAUUGCAAAGAAAAGACUGAUUCUCCGCCAGCACUUCCAUUUCCUCAUGCCAUGACCAAACAAAGGAAAGUCAAUCACAACUCUGAAAUCUUUGAAAUUUCAAACAGGUAAGGAUCAAUAUACCUUUGUUGGAUGCUAUUAAACAGGUUCCUUCCUAUGCUAAAUUUUUGAAAGAUCUAUGCACUGUGAAGAGAAAACUGAAUGUGAAAAAGAAAGCCUUUUUAGCCGAACAAGUAAGUGCCAUUCUUCAGAACAAUAAUGCUUUGAAAUAUAAAGACCCUGGUUGUCCUACAAUUUCUUGCUUUAUUGGAGAACAUAAAAUUGAAAGAGCCUUACUUGAUCUUGGAGCUAGUGUGAAUUUACUUCCAUAUUCAGUUUUUCAAAGUCUCAAUCUAGGUGAGUUAAAACCAACUUCUGUAACUCUUUUACUUGCCGAUAGAUCUGUAAAAGUGCCUAGAGGAAUAAUUGAAGAUGUGUUAGUACAAGUCGAUAAAUUCAUUUAUCCUGUGGAUUUUAUUGUCUUGGACACGCAACCUGUUGAAGCAUGUAAUUCAUUUCCUAUUAUUUUAGGACGUCCGUUUCUUGCAACUUCUAAUGCAUUGAUUAAUUGUAGGAAUGGACUAUGAAGCUAUCAUUUGGAAACAUGACAUUGGAGAUGAAUAUUUUCAACAUUUGCAAGCAGCCUGGAGAUGAUAAUGAUUUACAAGAAGUAGAUCAUAUUGAAGAAUUAGUUCAUAAUCAACUUGAAUCUACUUUGAGUAAAAUUGAGUUGGAUGAAUCUGAAGAUUUGCAAAUGAUUUAUUCUCAGGAAGAAAUCACGGAUGAAAAAGGCACCAAAAAUAUUGAUGUCGAUCUUUUAUCAAGAGUGACAACAGAUUUGACAUCUGACAUCCCACCAACAGAUUUGAAUCCUUACUUUCUCUUAGUUCAAUGCCUUGGUUUGCUAAAAAUAUCAACUUUCUUGCUUUAGGAGAUUUGCCAGCUCACUGGAGUACUGAAGACAAAGGAAAGUUUUUGAAUGAAGUGAAGAACUUUUAUUGGGAUGACCCUAACUUAUUCAAAUAUUGUCUUGAUCAAAAUUUUCAAAGAUGCAUUCCUGACAAUGAGGUAAGUAGUGUCAUUAAACUUUGUCAUUCUGAAGCAUGUGGGAGUCAAUUUCAUCAAGAAAGACGACUGCAAAAAUCUUACAAAAGGAUUUUAUUGGCCCACCAUGUUCAAGGACACGCAUGCAUUCUGCAAAACUUGUGAAAAUUGUCAAAAAGUUGAUAUUGGUCAAAAAGUUUUGCUUUAUAAUUCUCGACUCCAUUUAUUUCCUAAAAAAAUAAGAUCACGAUGGAGCGGUCCAUUUAUUUUAAAACAUCUAUAUCCUUAUGGGGCCCUUGAUAUUGAGAAUUCAAAGAAUGACAAUGUUUUGAAGGUAAAUGGACAUCGUUUGAAAGCUUACUUUGAUGAGUUUCCUAGUGAAAAUGAAUCCAUUGGUUUGAAUGAUCUUGUAGAUAAAGGUUGAUUAUUUUGUUUUUCUCACAUUUUUUUUUUGUGUUCCUUUUUUUGGUGUGACUUUUGUUUUGCUAGUUUAUCUCACCCCGGUCAAAUGGCGGAUAACGGUACUCCGUGACUCUUAAGUCGGUUCUUUCAGUUUCCCAUGAUAACUGAUAUCUGUGUAUAUAUUUAUGCAAUUAUUUGCUCUUUCUCCUUUCUUUGAAUCUCUCCCCCAAUUCUCAGUUGAAAAUGGACACCACUCUUGAAAAAUUGAAAAAGUAUUUUCCCGCUUUGCCUCAGAAUGCGAUUACAAAAAUUUAACGUGCUAGGUGUGAAAGAUUGAGGUUGUUAAUGAACCAUGAAAUUCCUGAAGAUAUUUGUUGGCUGAUUGAAGCAAAGGUUCGGUUAUCAGGUGAGUCCUUCAAUUCUUUCAUUUCAUAUAUGCUUGGAACAAGUAAAAGCAUUUUUGCAAAGAAACGUCAUGCAAAACGACUGCAAGUCUGUCAUAGAUGUGCCAGAUGGACUUGUAAUGUGACAUGUCGUUCUUUAGGAAUGAUAUCUGUAAACCGUGAAGAUAAAAUACAAUUCAUUAAGGAUGGCCUGAGUAAGGGGUCUUUAGAUAAUCUUCUAUUGACUCUUGAGACGUACCCUAGUGGAGAUGUGCAUCGUGCAAUUUAUGAUUUAUGACCCCAAUUCCAUAAAGAACAUGCUCGACUUAGUCUUAGGAAUCUGACUAAAAAAGACCCUGUUUGCUAGUUUUUAAGAAAACUGGAUGGGAAGCCUAUCCCCGACCCAUAAAGGGCGUUUAAGCCGUUCUUGGACGUAAAACCAAGGAAAGAUGUGAGCCACAAUCACAACUACCUGUACAUACACAUGCUUUUUCAAAAUAAAUAAAUAAAUAAAUAAAGAGAGAGAGAGAGAGAGAGAGAGAGUGUGUGUGAGACUACAGCUGGCCUACAUAUAGGUGGUAUGAUUGCAUUAAAAAGAAGAACCACCCGAGAGAACCGGCUUUGUCUUCAUCUUCAGGAGCAGCAGACCACAGGUAAUCUCCCCUUUGCAUUUUAAUUCACUGCUUCAGCAGCAGUGAAUAAUAAUUCACCCAGCUGUAUUCUCGUUGAACAGCUGAGGGUGUGUAGAAAAAAGGAAAGUGUUUUCCUUUCUUUAACAUAAGAAAAACACUUUCCUUUGGCAACACUAUUAUUUUUAGGUUGACUGGAAUUCAUUUUCCUUUGACUAUUUUCCCUUGUUGUCGCCAAACAUAGGAAAAGCAGGAAAGUGAAUUCCAGGAAUUCACUUUCUUGGAAUCAAACACGGCCUUAGGUAGCGAGAAAAAUCCAUAACUUUGAGGAGAACCGGCUUUGUCUUCAUCUUCAGGAGCAGCAGACCACAGGUAAUCUCCCCUUUGCAUUUUAAUUCACUGCUUCAGCAACAGUGAAUAAUAAUUCACCCAGCUGUAUUCUCGUUGAACAGCUGAGGGUGUGUAGAAAAAAAGAAAGUGUUUUCCUUUCUUUAACAUAAGAAAAACACUUUCCUUUGGCAACGUUAUUAUUUUUAGGUUGACUGGAAUUCAUUUUCCUUUGACUAUUUUCCCUUGUUGUCGCCAAACAUAGGAAAAGCAGGAUCCAUAGGUGUUUCAGUCUCUUAACAUUUUGAUAGUCCAGCGAAAUGACUAUAUUGCUCUUAAAUGCAAAAAAAUUAAAAUUGAUGUUCAGGGUUUUUUGUAUUUUCAUCGUGGCUUCUUAGUUAUAAUCAAUGUCAAUUAAAGGCAUUUUAGUCUUUUAGAAAUAUAAAUAUGAUUAAAAAAUAAAAAGUGGUUGAUGCUAGUGUCUGGGAGGUGCCCGCACUCUUUAGACAACGCAUGCAACAUCUAUUAGCGGAUAAACACUGCCUUUUAUGACGGCGUUGGAAGCAUCACAAUAUCUUUUUUCUAGUGAUCAGGUACACAUGCAUGGCUUUUUUUCAUUUCCGUCAUCUUAUCUCUCUCUUAGCCUCAAGUUUCAUGUCAGCUUUUUCAAAAAUUAAAUGUAUCAUGUUUAAUUUGUAUUUGUAUCAAUUUUAUUCUCAUUAUUUUAAUUACUAUUUGUUUUGAUUGAAAUACAUUUUAAAGUUGAUUUUUUCUUCAAUUUCAUCUUUCAACAUUUUAUUUCUCCUAGUUUUUCAAACAAUAGAGUUGGGUUGUCUUUAUGAUAUAGACAAUGUUUUUAUAAAUUUUUAUUUUUUUAUUUUUUAUAGUUUUUUCGGUUUGUUUUGAUGUGUUGUUGUAAAAAAGUAAUUCUUUAAAAAUAAAAAAAUAUAUAUUAAUAUAUUUUUAAUAAAAAACACUUUAAAAAACAAUUUAUAUUUGUUUUUACGUUAUAUUAUAAUGGUUAUGACGAUUUGAUUGAGAAGAAGUCACCAGCGGCUAGAAGAGAAAAGUUAAUUAAUUUCUCUCUUACUCUCCAGGUUUUCUAUUUUUUUUCUUCUGUGUGUGCGUGUUAGGGAAUGAGAGAAUAGAAAAGAGUGCUUCAGUGUGAGAUUUUUUUUUUAUGUUUUUUAAUAAAUCCCGGGUCAACCCAUCUGACCCGUGACCUGGUCAUUAGUCCGGGUUGACCACCGGGUCGGAUUUCAAAACUAUGGUACAGAGGGUGCACAUUGUUGACUCCUAGGAAUUUAUUAUGUACAAAAAGCUUCAGGUUAUUUUCUUUUAUGAUUUGGUAAGGAAAGGCAUCAAGUCUUCGAUCCAAGUGUUUGAGCGACUUUGUUGACUUCACAUUAUGUAAUAACGGUUAUUAUGAUUUAAUUGGGUAGAACUUGUUACUCUGCCCUGAUAAUAGGAUUUUUUUUUAAAAAAAAUACUAUUAGAGAGAUAAAAUGGUUAAAAAUUUUUUUUAGAAAAAACAACACAUUUUUUAAAAACCUGCUAUUUUAAAUCAUGAUUUUAAUAUAACCGUGAUUUUGCAAAAUCACAAUGUAACCAAAUAAUUUGGCAAUGCCUUUUCUUUAUAUAUAUAUAUAUAUACACACACAAGCAUAUUGGUAUACGCUCUGCAACAUAUCAAUAACAAUUAUUUUUUAUUUAUAUGUAAAAAAUAUAAAGAAUAAAGAAAAUAUAUUAAAUGCCUUGGGUUUGAUAGCAACUCAAUUUUAGGUGGUCCUGACGGCAGCAAAGCCCAACGCUAUUGGGUCCUAAUAAAAAUAGAGCCUAACUUUAUGAAAAAAAAAUCUCAUCAAUUUAUUUCAAAAAAAAAAAAGAUUACAAAAGUAAUAAGAAAAAAAACAAUCUAAAAAGGCAAAAAAAUAAAAUUGGAUAUAUCUAGGUCUAACUACAAGUCAGACCCAAUAGCUAUAUAUAUAUUAUAAAUAAUUAAGUUUAAAAGAUUAUUUCAAAAGAUUUUUAUACCACAUUCAAAAGAGAUUAUCUUAUUCUUCUAAGUUGAAGUACUUAAAUAAAAAAGGAUUUAUUAUCCCACGCUGAAAAAACAUAACUUUUUGUCUUGUAAAUAUAUAAUAUAUAUACUAAAGAGCUUUAAAUCUCACAAUACAAAAAUAAAACAUUCUUCUAGUAUUUAUAAAGUGAACUUUGAAAUGAGUUAAUGAUCAAUUGAAAAAAGUAUAAAAAAGGCAUCCCUGUAGAAUGAAAUUUAUUUUCAAAAAAUAUUUCUAAUAUGUGUAGCCUUACAUAUUAUUUUUUCUCUUUUAUUUUAAUCAAUCAAUUUAAUGUGUGUGUUUAUUUUUAUUAUCGUUUGAUUGAAUAAAAAAUUUAUUUUAACUAACAAAUUUAGCAAAUACAACUGCCUAAAUAUUAUGUCUUGUGAAAUUAAAUAUCUUGAUCUAUGUCUCUUGAUUUUUCUAAUUGUUAUAUUUAAUCAUUGUUUAUGAUUUUUUUUACUUAUUAACACACAUAGUUCUUAAUUUAUUUGAUUAUAUGUACAUAUAAGUUUUUUAAUUUUCACUUAGAAUUUUUUUCAAAUACAAAAAUGUGUUGAAAAAGUCUAUAUAUAAAUUUUUUUAUUAAAAAAAAUAUCUAACCCGUGGUGAAACAAGGGUCAAAUAGUGCAAACUAAAGACUAAUCCUGUAGUUUUCUCCUUCUUUAAUUCAAAAUUAGCAAAAGUGAACAGAUAACUCUCUUAAUGUGAAGUUAUCUCCUGCCUAAAAUAUAUGUUUAGCAAGUAAGAAUCAAAAGCUAAACAUGUUUAUCUUGCUAAACCUCCACGACACCUUAAACAGGAAGUGAUCAUCUCAUAGGAUUGUCUUUAACAGGUGGUUGGACAUAAGCAUAAAGAACAAAUAUAAUGAACACCAUAAUGAAUUAAGAGAAUUUUAAACUUCAAUUCAUUCAACAACCUGGAAAGGAAAUUUAGCUCCGAACGCAUUCAGUUGAGAGGAGAAACAUAAAAGCAGCAGAGAAGGUAACUUUUACAGGGUAAUUGAUAUCAUGAGAUCAAAAUGAUAUAAAAAAAUUAAUUUAAAAUAAAAAAAAUUCAAAUCCAAGUAUUUUCUCACGACAUUAUAGAGGGGCAUAUUGUUGACUUCCCGUAAAUUUCUCAUGUACAAAAGGCUUCAGGUCUUUUUAUUUGUGAUGCAAUAGGAAAGGGCAUUUAGGAGCUGUUUGUCUUUAUAGCAUAAACAAUGUUUUUAUAAAUUUUGAUUUUUUUUUAUUUUUUAAGAUUAAUUUGUUUUUAGUUAUUUUAGUUUGUUUUGAUGUAUUGAUAUAAAAAGUAAUUUUUAAAAAAUAAAUAAUAUAAUAUAAUAAUAUAUUUUUAAUUAAAAAAUACUUUAAAAAAUUAUUUUUCUUUUCAUAUCUUGAGUUAAAGUGUGUGCGAUAAUAAUAUUUUUACUUUUAUAUUAUAUUAUGAUGAUUAUGAUGAUUUUAUUGAAAAUAAAUGAUGAAAUAUGCUGGAAAAGUCUCAUCCACCAUAUCAAGUCUUUUCUCUUGAAACACAGAGAACUUGAUCCACCAUUGGAACUUGGACUCGUGUUAGGAACCUGGAAUUGGAUUUCAUACACGACUAAAUUGAGUACUUUAUGAGCUGAUUGAUAGAGAUCUUGGCACCAAACCAUGAAUCUGAUAUUUGCAUUACAGGAAUGUUUCCAACACAAGUUUUGAGGUAAAAUAGAAUGAUAAGACACAUGAGCACAUCCUAGUUAAAGAACAUGGAGUCAAUGGAAAGUAUAUGAACGAAAACAACAACUGUCAGACAUGAUAAUGUUAUCAAAUUUGAAAUGAAGUUGAUUGGAAGUAUAGUUGUGAUUUUUUUUUAAAUAGUAUUUUGUAUUAAAAUGUAUGUUAAUAAUAUUUUUUUAAAAAAAUUAUUUUUGAUAUAAACACAUUAAUUUCCUUCGGCUGUAUAAAGGUUUUCAUUGUUCUGGAUGAUGUGGAUGAUUUAAUGCGUUUGGAUGAAUGGAGAGAUUUGCUUGAUGGACGAAACAGUUCAUUUGGUCCAGGCAGUAAAGUUCUCAUAACAAGUAGGGACAAGCAAGUGCUUAAGAAUGUAGUAGACGAAACAUACGAGGUUGAGGGGUUGAACUAUGAAGACGCUAUUCAACUCUUUAGCUCAAAAGCCUUGAAGAAUUGCAUCCCCACAGUUGAUCAUAGAGACUUGAUAGAUGAGAUUGUAAGGCAUGUACAAGGCAAUCCGUUGGCUCUUAAAGUUUUGGGUUCCUCUCUCUAUGGUAAAAGCAUCGAAGAAUGGCGCAGUGCAUUGACUAAACUAGCUCAGGACCCUCAAAUCGAAAGGGCGUUGAGAAUUAGUUACGAUGGGUUGGAUUCAGAUCAAAAAUCUUUAUUUCUUGACAUAGCACAUUUCUUCAUAAGAUGGGAGCAAGACAAAGCAACAAGAAUAUUACAUGGCUUAUAUGGUCGGUCUGUGAUUUUCGAUAUAACCACGCUAAUUGAUAAGUGUCUCAUAAGUACUCCAACUAGUGACCUUUCUUAUGUCAUUCUAGAAAUGCAUGAUUUACUACAAGAAAUGGCAUUUAACAUUGUUCGUGCAGAAUCUAAGUUUCCUGGCAAACGUAGCAGGUUAUGUCAUCUUCCUGAUGUCGUUCAUGUAUUGGAGGAAAAUAAGGUUAAAGCUACACCCAUUAAAUGUCGUUCAUGUAUUUGCUCAAAAGUUGAUGUGUUUGAGUAGAUUGUAUUAUUGUUUGUUUAUUCUUUAUUAUUGUUUAACAGGGAACUGAAGAAAUUGAAGGCAUAUCUUUGGACUGGUUACCGAGACACAUACACUUGAAAUCUGAUGCCUUCGCAAUGAUGGAUGGUCUUAGAUUUCUCCAUUUCAAUCAACAUGGCCCCCCCGAAGAAGAUAAAAUUCACCUUCCUCCUACUGGCCUCGAAUAUCUUCCUAAUAAGCUGAGAUAUUUGAAAUGGUAUGGAUUCCCUUCGAAAUCCUUGCCCCCUUCUUUUCGUGCUGAACACCUUGUCGAGCUUGAGCUACGCGGAAAUUUAAGAAAAAUUGAUCUAUCAAUGGCCAAAAAUUUAGAGUGCUUAAUGCUCAUGGACUGUCCAAGUUUGGAGCAAACUUCCAUCAAUGAAGUUCCACAAUCAGUUAAUCGCAAGUUGAAACGUCUUUAUCUAAGUGGUUGCUCAAAGAUCACCGAGUUUCCAGAGAAUUUAGAGUAUAUAGAAGAAUUAAAUUUAAGUGGAACUGCUAUUAAAGAGGUGCCCUCAUCAAUCCAGUUUCUCACAAGACUCCGCACAUUGAAUAUAAGUGGUUGCUCAAAACUUGAAAACUUCCCAGAAAUCACGGUGCCUAUGGAAUCUUUGCAGUAUUUUGACUUGAGUAAAACAGGCAUUAAAGAGAUACCCUCAUCAUUCAAGAAUUUAGAGUGCUUAAUGCUCAUGGACUGUCCAAGUUUGGAGCAAACUUCCAUCAAUGAAGUUCCACAAUCAGUUAAUCGCAAGUUGAAACGUCUUUAUCUAAGUGGUUGCUCAAAGAUCACCGAGUUUCCAGAGAACUUAGAGUAUAUAGAAGAAUUAAAUCUAAGUGGAACUGCUAUUAAAGAGGUGCCCUCAUCAAUCCAGUUUCUCACAAGACUCCGCAUAUUGAAUAUGAGUGGUUGUUCAAAACUUGAAAACUUUCCAGAAAUCACGGUGCCUAUUGAAUCUUUGCCUAUUGAAUCUUUGCAGUAUCUUGACUUGAGUAAAACAGGCAUUAAAGAGAUACCCUCAUCAUUCAAGGAUAUGAUAUCUUUGAUUACUCUAGAGUUAUAUCGAACACCUAUUGGAGAGCUACCCUUGUCAAUCAAAGAUAUGGUAUGUUUGAGUAUACUGACUUUGAAUGGAACGCCUAUGAAAGCGUUACCUGAGCUUCCCCCUUCGAUGUGGUUUCUAACAACACAUGACUGUGCAUCACUAGAAACCGUCAAUAUCGACAGAUUCUGGUAUCUAAUGGAUUUUACAAAUUGCUUCAAAUUGGAUCAGAAACCACUGAUAGCAGCAAUGCAUUUGAAAAUUCAGGUAUCUCUCUAAACCCCCUUGUCUUUCUUUCUUCUCUCUUUCUUGCUUGCUUCAUCACAUUUUUGAAAUGUAACUUUUGUGUUACAGUCCGGAGAGGAGAUCCGACAAACAAGACAGGGCGCAAUUCGAAUGGUUCUACCGGGGAGUGAAAUUCCAGAAUGGUUCGGUGAGAAAGGAAUUGGAUCUUCAAUCACCAUACCGUUGCCCUCAAAUUGUCAUCACCUCAAGGGAAUUGCUUUUUGCCUUGUCUUUCUAUUCUCUCUUGCCUCCCUUGACAUGCUUCAUGAAAGCAAUGGUUCUUCUGCUAUAUAUUUUGAUUACCAUGUUAAAAGUAAAAACGGUGAGCAUGAUGGUGAUGAAGAAGUCGUCUUCGCUUCCCGGGAAACGCGUUAUGCAUUAUAUUCCUUGAUGCCAAGUGACUCAGAUCACAUGAUUCUACACUACGAGCUCGAUUUGGUAAAUCAUUUACGUAAAUAUUCUGGCAAUGAAGUUACAUUUAAAUUCUUCCAUUUUUUGAGCAAACAUGGGAGGAAGGUAGGUUAUCAGAUCCGAAGGCCUUUCAAGUUGAAAAGCUGGGGGGUGUAUCUGCACUUUGAUGAAAAUCUACGGAGAAGAAAAUUUUGGAGAUAUAAAAGAAAUUGAAUGGGGGAAAGAGUUCUGUAAUUACUGCAGAUUGUUCAUCAAUUAUUACUUGGUUUUCUAGAUAGCUGUAAAUAUUGUUCUUCCCUUGCAACUGACUAACGAACUCACUCUCUGUUAUUCAACUAAUUCCUCAACUAACUGUAACAGCCAUCUAACUAAUGAAUACUAACAACAAAAGAAAAACAGUGAGUAUUCAAGAUUUUAUUAUUGCAUAUUUUAUAACUCUAUAAAUAAACUUAAAACUAGCUAAAAAAACUAAGAAAUAUGAAAAUAAAAAAGCAAAUGAGAAAUGAGAAAUGAGUGGCAGAGCAAACAGGCAAGAUCUUUUGCUAACUCAAAACCUUUUAAAGAAAAGAAAAAAAAAACACGAAGAUCAAUUUCAAAAAACAAAACGUUGAGGGACAUAGAAAACCAUCCACAUCAUGGCUUAAAAUAGUUGUGGUUUCUUUUUAAAUAAUUUUUUAUAUUAAAAUAUAUGUUAAUAAUAUUUUAAAAAAAAAAAAUUAUUUUUGAUAUAAACACAUUAAAAUGAUUUGAAAACACUAAAAACAUAUUAAUUUAAACUUAAUAAAAAAUAAUUUUUUUAAAAGCACUCUUAAGACGUACAAACAAGAUAAGAGAUAUAUUAAUUUAUAAUCUAAUUAAAUAAGACUCAAAUAAGUCAGUUUUAAUGAUUUUUUUAAUUAUUAGAAGCAAUAGAACAUGUUACCAAAACACUAUGCACACACAAAAAAAAACAUUUUUAUUGCAAUGGUUUAAUUAUAUUUUUUUCCCUUUCAAAAAAAAAAAAGCCAAAAGCUUAUAAGAAUAAUUUGAUCUUUUUAAAUUACCAGUGGUCAUUAAUUAUUUGAGUGGGGCAUAUGUAACCAAAGGCUUAUGAGUUAAGGACAAUUUUUUGACUGGAUAUACGUGACCCUUUUUAUUUUUUAUGCAUAGUAAAAUAAAUUUUUUAGCCUUUAUAUACAAAAAUAUAACGUUGUUAACAGAGAGUAUUUAGGUCGUUUACUUUUUAAAACAGUAAAAAGACAUAUAUACUGCUUUUUACGCCCCUGUAUGGGCAUAUCCAGUGGUCAAACCUAUUUUAUUUUAAGUGGAAGUUGGUUAAUUUGUGAUCAGAGAGUUUUUUUUUUUUUGUUAAUAUUUUAAUUUUAAUUUUAAUUUUUCUGAUAUUUAAUUUUUUUUUCUUAAUUUUUUUGUAAAAUUUUUUAUUUAUUUUUAAUUUAGUUCUUCAAUUUUAAUUUGUCACAUAUUAUUUUUUCAAUUUAAUCCUUCAAUUUCAAUUUGUCAUGUAUUAUUUUUUUUCAACUUGGUCCUUGUUCUUUAAUUUUUAUUUUUUUCUUACCCCAUUUGUGAAAGUUUUAUUGUUUUUCAAUUUCAUCAUUCAAUCAAAUUUUAUAACAUAUUAUUUUUCUAGUUUGAUCCUUAUUCUUUAAUUUUUUCCCUUUUAUUAAAAAUAUUUUUCUUUUCAAUUUAACUCUCUAAUAAAAAAUUUAGUUUUGUCUUUUAAUUUAAUUUUUAUUUCAAUUUUCAUCCUCAUUUGUUUAAUUAUCAUUUUUAAAUUUUUUUUAUUCUUUUUCAUUAAUAAUUUUAUUUAUUUAUUCAAUGUUUAAUUUUUUGAGGACAAGCCUUCGUGAUUUUUUCAUGUAUGGUAUUUUUUCAUGUAUUCAAUUUCUCAUUUCUCAUUUGCAUUUUUAUUUUCAUAUUUCUUAGUUUUUUGAGCUAGUUUUAAGUUUAUUUAAAGAGUUAUAAAAUAUGCAAUAAUAAAAUCUUGAAUACUUACUGUUUUUCUUUUGUUGUUAGUAUUCAUUAGUUAGAUGGCUGUUACAGUUCGUUGAGGAAUUAGUUGAAUAACAGAGAGUGAGUUCGUUAGUCAGUUGCAAGGGAAGAACAAUAUUUACAGCUAUCUAGAAAACCAAGUAAUAAUUGAAGAACAAUCUGCAGUAAUUACAGAACUCUUUCCCCCAUUCAAUUUCUUUUAUAUCUCCGAAAUUUUCUUCUGAACUUUUUGUCCGCCCGUAGAUUUUCAUCAAAGUGCAGAUACACCCCCCUGUUUUUCAACUUGAAAGGCCUUCGGAUCUGAUAACCUACCUUCCUCCCAUGGUUGCUCAAAAUAUGGUAGAAUUUAAAUGUAACUUCAUUGCCAGAAUAUUUACGUAAAUGAUUUACCAAAUCGAGCUCGUAGUGUAGAAUCAUGUGAUCUGAGUCACUUGGCAUCAAGGAAUAUAAUGCAUAACGCAUUUCCCGCGAAGCGCAGACGACUUCUUCAUCACCAUCAUGCUCACCGUUUUUACUUUUAACAUGGUAAUCAAAAUAUAUAGCAGAAGAACCAUUGCUUUCAUGAAGCAUGUCAAGGGAGGCAAGAGAGAAUAGAAAGACAAGGAAAAAAGCAAUUCCCUUGAGGUGAUGACAAUUUGAGGGCAACGGUAUGGUGAUUGAAGAUCCAAUUCCUUUCUCACCGAACCAUUCUGGAAUUUCACUCCCCGGUAGAACCAUUCGAAUUGCGCCCUGUCUUGUUUGUCGGAUCUCUUCUCCGGACUAUAACACAAAAGUUACAUUUCGAAAAUGUGAUGAAGCAAGCAAGAAAGAGAGAAGAAAGAAAGACAAGGGGGUUUAGAGAGAUACCUGAAUUUUCAAAUGCAUUGCUGCUAUCAGUGGUUUCUGAUCCAAUUUGAAGCAAUUUGUAAAAUCCAUUAGAUACCAGAAUCUGCCGAUAUUGACGGUUUCUAGUGAUGCACAGUCAUGUGUUGUUAGAUACCACAUCGAAGGGGGAAGCUCAGGUAACGCUUUAAUAGGCGUUCCAUUCAAAGUCAGUAUACCCAAACAUGCCAUAUCUUUGAUUGACAAGGGUAGCUCUCCGAUAGGUGUUCCAUGUAAAUAUAGAGUAAUCAAAGAUAUCAUAUCCUUAAAUGAUGAGGGUAUCUCUUUAAUACCUGUUUUACUCAAGUCAAGAUACUGCAAAGAUUCCAUAGCCACCGUGAUUUCUGGGAAGUUUUCAAGUUUUGAGCAACCACUCAUAUUCAAUGAGUUUUGAGCAACCACUCAUAUUCAAUGAGCGGAGUCUUGCGAGAAACUGGAUUGAUGAGGGUACCUCUUUAAUAGCAGUUCCACUUAGAUUUAAUUCUUCUAUAUACUCUAAAUUCUCUGGAAACUCGGUGAUCUUUGAGCAACCACUUAGAUAAAGACGUUUCAACUUGCGAUUAACUGAUUGUGGAACUUCAUUGAUGGAAGUUUGCUCCAAACUUGGACAGUCCAUGAGCAUUAAGCACUCUAAAUUUUUGGCCAUUGACAGAUCAAUUUUUCUUAAAUUUCCGCGUAGCUCAAGCUCGACAAGGUGUUCAGCACGAAAAGAAGGGGGCAAGGAUUUCGAAGGGAAUCCAUACCAUGUCAAAUAUCUCAGCUUAUUAGGAAGAUAUUCGAGGCCAGUAGGAGGAAGGAGAAUUUUAUCUUCUUCGGGAGGCCAUCUCUUAUAUUGAUUGAAAUGGAGAAAUCUAAGACCAUCCAUCAUUGCGAAGGCAUCAGAUUUCAAGUGUAUGUGUCUCGAUAACCUGGCCGUGUUCAAAGAUAUGCCUUCAAUUUCUUCAGUUCCCUGUUAAACAAGAAUAAAGAAUAAACAAACAAUAAUACAAUCUACUCAAACACAUCAACUUUUGAGCAAAUACAUGAACGACAUUUAAUGGGUGUAGCUUUAACCUUAUUUUCCUCCAAUACAUGAACGACAUCAGGAAGAUGACAUAACCUGCUACGUUUGCCAGGAAACUUAGAUUCUGCACGAACAAUGUUAAAUGCCAUUUCUUGUAGUAAAUCAUGCAUUUCUAGAAUGUCACAAGAACGGUAACUAGUUGGAGUACUUAUGAGACACUUAUCAAUUAGCGAGGUUAUAUCGAAAAUCACAGACCGACCAUAUAAGCCAUCUAAUAUUCUUGUUGCUUUGUCUUGCUCCCAUCUUAUGAAGAAAUGUGCUAUGUCAAGAAAUAAAGAUUUUUGAUCUGAAUCCAACCCAUCGUAACUAAUUCUCAACGCCCUUUCGAUUUGAGGGUCCUGAGCUAGUUUAGUCAAUGCACUGCGCCAUUCUUCGAUGCUUUUACCAUAGAGAGAGGAACCCAAAACUUUAAGAGCCAACGGAUUGCCUUGUACAUGCCUUACAAUCUCAUCUAUCAAGUCUCUAUGAUCACCUGUGGGGAUGCAAUUCUUCAAGGCUUUUGAGCUAAAGAGUUGAAUAGCGUCUUCAUAGUUCAACCCCUCAACCUCGUAUGUUUCAUCUACUACAUUCUUAAGCACUUGCUUGUCCCUACUUGUUAUGAGAACUUUACUGCCUGGACCAAAUGAACUGUUUCGUCCCUCAAGCAAAUCUCUCCAUUCAUCCAAACGCAUUAAAUCAUCCACAUCAUCCAGAACAAUGAAAACCUUUAUACGACGAAGCCUAUCCCUCACCAAAGUAUCUCGGAAACUCAAGGAGUCCAUAGUGUUCAGAGUUUCUGGGCCAAGCAGCCGUUUAAGAAAUCUUUUUCGCAAAUCAGAUUGUUGUCUAAAGUUUGCAAAAAAGAUUCUUUCAAAUCGAGAACGAACCUUAUUGCACACAACUUGAGCAAUCAUUGUCUUACCGAUACCACCCAUUCCCCAUAUCCCUAAAAUGAGAACAUCUGGAGAUUUCAUAUUUAACAAAGACUCAACUUUGUUAACACGAACAUCAAUUCCAAAGAGACCCGUAGUGUGACUUGAAGACAUGGCUUGCAAUUUAUUCAUAACAUCUCCAACGAUUUUUUCAAUAAAUUCAGACUCCAGCCUAACAAACAAGAAGAAACAUAUAAACAUACUCAAAUAUAUAGAAUAUUAUUUAAAGAUAGAAGAAAACAUUACAUGUCCUCGUAAAACAUAACGUAAGGAUUCCUAAGUAUCUAUUUUUUAUUUCCUAAAACAUAUUAGUAAUUACUUUUUAUUAUCUAUACAAACAUUUCGCUAUAAAUAAUACUUUUUAUUUUUUAAAAUAUUUUUUAAUAUAAACAAAUCAAAAUAUUCUAAAAACACAAUAUAUAUAUUUUAAUACACAAAACAACCAACCACGUAGCAUAUAUACAAGUGUUUUGCUACUACGUUUUCAAAAUCAAAUAAAAUAAAUAUGGAUUCACAGAGCUCAUAAUUCUCAAUAAUUUUAAAUUAAAUUACAAAUGAACCAAUAUUUUCUCAUGGGAUAUAUUUGAUGAGCUUACUCAGAAUUCCCUAAGCUCCAUCCAGAUAGAUUGGCUGCAUCCGUCAAAGCGCCUCUGAAGCUCUGCACUUUUUCCAACGUCAGAGCUUUAUUCCUUAUAAGUCUAGCAAAUGCACCCCCAAAGCUACCUGUUUGAUUUCUUACAUGGGAUGGAUCCACCUGGUAGAAUACCGGAAUAACUAUCUGUCCAUUAUUUUUUCUACGUUCAAAAAUCUUAGCAAGCUCCUCCAAGCACCAUUUGGAAGAUGCAUAGUUUCCAGUAAAAACAAUCACAGAAAGCUUGGCCUCUUCAAUUGUUCUCAGAAGUGAUGCCGAAAUCUCGUCUCCUCUCCGAAGCUGAUAAUCUAUGAAAGUUAGGAUUUGUUUCCGGUCCAAAGCAGCAUAGAGGUGGCUGGUAAAACCAACACGAGUGUCUUCUCCCCUGAAACUAAGGAAGACAUCAUAUUUAAUUACUUGUGGUUGGGCGGUGGUUAAGGUGGAAUGAGUAGAUGGCGAUGGAGAUAUAUGACGGUGUCGUAUGAUGAAUCUCCAGAUAUAAACAAACAAAAAGAUAGAGAGAAAUAAGAAAAACACCGCCAUUGUUUUGUGGAGAAACAGUCGCGGAAACGAGAGGAAGACUCUGGAGGCAGGGUAAGUCUGGAGGGAAAGAACGGAAGUAACACCACAAGGAUAAAAGAUGAGGCUGAUUUGAAUCAGUAGCUUAGGCUUUACGUGUUUAAGACGCAUAUGUAUAAUUGUAAUAAUGGGGGUUUCAAAUCCAAGUAUUUUAUCAUGCACAGAGGGUGCACAGAGUUGUCUUACACCCAGAGGAUUUCUUUAUAUUUGUUUUUAUGUUUUAAAAGUUGUUUUAAAAAAAGUUAAAAAUUAUUUGUAUUUUUUAUUUGUUUGGUAACCGGUACUUUGACCGGGCCUGUAGCAGUCAAAUACUAGAUCCGCAAUUGGCGCCGUAACAUUCGCUUUGCCGGCCAAGUAAACGUGCGAACUGAAACACCCUAAUGUUCAACUGGAAAUGAAAACUAUUAAAUAAAUUAGGAGGGGCAAGAACAAAGCUGUGUUGUGUCGAGAAAUGGGCGCCAACCCAUUUAAUAUUCUUGUUGCUCGGUUAUGCUAUCAUCUUCUCAAGAAAUGUGUUUUUAAAAUAAUAGUUUUAAUUUAAAAAUGUAUUAAAAUAAUAGUUUUUAUUUUUAAAAAUUUAUUUUUAAAAUUAAGAGAUUUAAAUGAUGUAAAAAUACAAAAAAAAAAAUUAAAAAUUAAAAAAAUUCAAAUCUAAAUAUUUUCUCACAACAGUACAGAGGGUGCAUAUUAUUGACUUUCUGUAAAUUUUCCAUGUACAAAAGGCUUCAAGUAUUUUAGAGUUAUUUGUCUUUAUAGCAUAAACAGUGUUUUUAUUUUUUUAUAGCUUUCUGUAAAUUUUCCAUGUACAAAAGGCUUCAAGUAUUUUAGAGCUAUUUGUCUUCAAGUAUUUGUCUUUAUAGCUAUUUGUCUUUAUAGCAUAAACAGUGGCACCAAAAUAACUAGCAGCAUUCCAAGGAAUCUGCACAAUUAAAACGAAUGACUCCAUUUUGAUGUGAUCUUAUGCAGAAAGCACCAGCAAAAUCAUCGGUGCAGAUGAUUUCACCCCUGCAAUCCAAUUUUUUAAAUCAUAAAUACAUGACAUGCUAUAAAAAUAAAUAAAUUAAAAACUUUAUCCAUUUAAUUUGAUUAAGAAAAUCAUCCUACAACUAUUUUACAUUUAUUUAAAGCAAGUUACAAGACAUACAUAAACUCUUUUGUAAAAUUGCAGGUCUCCAUUCGGCCAGCCCAGCACUAGAGGAUGGUGAGAAUUGAGAAGAGUCACAACAACUCGGACACCAAAUAGAAAAUUACAAAGAAUUGAAGGGGUUAUGGCUAAUUCCACAAAAAUAAAGAGCCACCGCAAGAAAAUAAUACUAUAAAAGAAUCAACUUAAAAAAAUUGAUCCCUCGCACAUAUAUUAAACUUGGUGGACUCUUGACGGAUUAGUUGGGGACUUCUUGACUCAAAAUGUAAUUUGGGCUGGAUUGUUUUUUUCAAAUCAAAAUCAAUGUUAAUCUGGUAAAAUUAGAGUUAAUUUUUUAAAAAAAUUUAAUUAAUAGAAACAAUAAAACAUGUUACCAAAAUACUAUAGAGAAUACUAUGCAUAAAGACUAAAAAAACUAUUCAUUGCGACACUUUAAUUACAUUUUUCCCCUUCUAAGAAGAAACCAAAACGCUUAUGAGUUAAGGGCAAUUCAAUCUUUUCGUAUUGGUCAGUUAAUUAUUUCACCGGGAAACAUAUAUGUAACCAGAAGCUUUUGAAUUAUGGGCAAUUUUUUGACUAGGACAUAUGGGACUUUUUUAAUUUUUUAUACGUAGUCAAAUGAUUUUUUUAAUCUGCAUAUAAAAAAAACUAAUGUUAUUUGUUGCGGGGGUCGAGCGCCGUGAUGUCAUCUGGCGACGGCGGAGGCUCUUGACGUGCCUCCCGGGUGAGGUGUUGUGUGUUGGAAAGGGUCUUGGAUUUAAUCAUAAAAUAAUGAUUAAUGUUUUAGGAGUCGCCACCUAGUAUUAUGGUUAUUAGGAACCUAUGGUUUGCGAAAGUCUGGGUAAGGGACUGGUUGUGGAAGGGGAAGACGCAUCACCCCAGGGCACCCUACCUAAGGUAAGCUGCAUUGUUGUUUGAUUUUUUUUCUAAGUCGGGUUCUAUUCGUUGGUCUUGUCUAAGGCUCAAGGUAGAUCUAUCUUCAUGAGAAAAUCUCUACCCUAUCGGGUUAAAUUCUAACCGUUCUAAACUCUGAAUUUUAGCAUCGUAUUUUUACACCUUGUGUCUUUAAUACUUGAGGGUGUAUUUUAUCGUGUAAUUUUACACCCUACAAAUAUUAAAGUCUAUAUCUGGAUCCUAAAAAAGAUUGGAAAAAGAUUUUUGAUAUUUUGACCAAAUACUAAUGAAUGAUCAUAAACUGGUUAUGAUAUCCAUUUUUGGAUUUUCAAAACAUGAGAAAGAUGCAAUCUUUUAAUGAAAAUAUGCUUGGAAAAUUUUUAGGAUUUGGUCGUAUGCAUGAAAAUAAAAAAUAUUUUUUUAAGGGAAAUUUGAUUUAAAAGUUUUUGAGAUUUUUUUUUGAAAAUGUUUUGAAUUUGUUUUUGAAAUAUUUCGAAGAAAACCGAGUAUUUUAAUACUAGAUUUGUAUUUUACAGUGUAAAUAUACAACCCGAUAUUAUGCAAAAUUAGUAGAAAAAUAUUUAAGAAAAUCACAAAUUUUUUGAAAUGAUUUUUGAAAAUUUUUGGAUUUUUUUUUGUAAAGAAAUAUAUAUAUAAUUAUAUUAAAUAAAUAUUAUUAAAACAUGGGGGCUAGGGCGGCCCAGAUGACUGGGCCAAGCCCAGGAACUUUUGGUUGGGCCGAUCUCGGCCCAACAGAUCCUUUUCUUUUCUUUUUCGGGCCAGGCCCAAAUGGUCCAGCCCAGACCAGCAUGGUUGUUGGCCCGACCCAACAACCAUGCAAAUUAAUAAGGCUACAUGCAGAACGAGAAUUCGUUCUGCAUGUAGCAACUUAGUUACAGUGAUAACGGGGUGGUGCUACCUGACGCUGAAGUGCCUAGAUGGAGGCCUGGCUGGUCUAGAUGGGGAGAGGCCGACGUGAGGACGGUGGCUGAGGCUGUAGCAGAGAUGGUGGCCGGUGGCGGAGGCUGUAGCAGAGAUGGUGGCCGGUGGCGGAGGAAGCAAAAGAAGAAGGAGAAAAUAGGAGGGUGUCUAGAGAGGACAGAGAAACCGACGGUGGCUCUUGGUGUUCAGUUGGUGGUUGUGUUAGCUUCCUAUGAUGGAGCUGAUGGUUUGUGGAAUAGAAAAGAGCACUAGUAACACCAUUUAAGGGAAAUUGUUACCUUAAAAGAUAUGGUGAUAAAAUAAAGGAUUGGAUAUCCUAAAUAAUGAUGAGCCGAUACAUUUAGGAUGUGAAUUCAAUAUUGAACUUUUUUUUAUAUUUUUAAAGGAAUUUUUUUAAAAAUAAAAUUCCCUUACAAUCUAUUUUUAGUCUUAACUAGGCUCGAUGCUCGCACUUUGAGAUAAGGCUGGACUAUUUUAUUUUUUUUGUACAAAAAAUAAUAUUUAGGUGCCACAAACAUGUUUUUAGAAAGAAAAAUAAAAUCUAUAGCUCGGAUCAUAAACCCAAUUAGGUUAAAUAAGUUGAGUUUAUUUUAAUUAGAAAAAAAAUGAUAGUAGAUGAAUCAAAUUUAAAAACAAAAAUGAUCAUGAUUGUUGUUACCCAAUUUUUGACCCACCUUUUUGAUAAAAUUUUCGGAAAAUUCAAAAAUAGCAAAAAACAACAAAAAUCCAAAAAAAAUAUGUUUUUAAUAUAUUUACAUCGUUUUUAGCAUUUUCAAUGUCGUUUAAAAAAAUUAAUUUUCAAAAGAUUUUUGAACGCGUCCGACUUUUCAUGCGUCAUUUUUAAAAUCAUUGAUUUUCCUCAUUGAGUCGACGUUGAUAUUGCUCGUUUUCAAAAAAUACAAAAAAAUUAAGAAAGAAUCAAAUUUACAAAAAGAAAGAAGUUGAGGGACCAGUUUUGAGCUCCUGACAACAUUUUACCUAUAAAUAUAGGUUUAAAACUCAAAAGAAAGGAGGGGGGUAAUUUUUCCUCCCCUCACGAGGAGGCAGCCGCCAGCCCCUCCGCACCUCCCCUUUUGAUUUUUUUUUCUCUUCUCCCUCAACCGGCGCAACCCCCUUCCCCGGCUGAUAUUUUUCUUUUUUCCUCACCCCAGCCUCAACCACUCCAGCCUCCCAGCCGUUGGGCAAUCCAGAGGUGUCCAAGCCUUUGCAUUUUCCUUCUCUUCCCCCCGAUAUGUCCUUCCUUCUCUCCUGAACCGGCCGACCGCUACCACCUUCUCCUCCUCUCAACAGCAGCGCCUCCAUCGAAACCACAGACCGAGCGCCCACCGAAGCCAACCGCUGCUCACCCUCUUCCUUCUCUCAUCUUCCCUGCUCAACAGCUGCUCUCUUCUCCAUAACGAAGUCAGCCGAACGGACGACAACAACAAGAGCCCCACAGACGACAACAGCAACAAGGUCAUCCGCCGCCACCACCAACAGGAGUGAAGGCCAUCUUCACCGUCAGCCGUAACAGCUCUAUCCUCACCAAAUCUUCACCUCCUUCAAUCGGCCUCACCAGAAAUCGAACAGACCGAGAGGGGAGAGAACAAGAGUGAAACAAAUUUGAGAAGGGAGAAGACCCGAAUGAACUAGAUCUGAGAAGGAGAAAAGAAAACUAAAAUCGACUGCUUUGUUGUGUUUUUUUGGUGUUUAUGCAGGUCACCGCCGGCGAGAAAGAAGCGAGGAAGCCAUUUUUGGAUCUCCCCUGUUGGCUGGAUUUUUACGAUGACGCGUGAACCCACGUACCGCCAAUGGUGGUGGCGUGCCGCCACUGUUCAUACGGUUGCAGAUGGCCUUCCCUGCAAAUUUUGGAGUUUUAGGGACCAUUUUGUAAUUUUUAAAUUAUGUAAUGUAAUUUUUGUUUAGUGUUGAAUUUUUAUAUAUAUAAUUUGUAAUGUGGAUGUACAAAAAGAAAAGAACAAAACAAAAAAAAGAAAGAAAAGAAAAAAAGAAAAGUAUAGUGAAAAGGAAAUGUGUGAUUUGUAUUUUAUUUAUGAAUGUUUUUUUUUGUAUGAUAAAAUUGCAAGAAUAAAGAAGAAUUUAAUAUUUUGAUUUGCUCACGGAUAAAGAAUUAUGAACUUACACGUAAGUGUAUUUCUAAAAUUCGAUGAAAGAACAUAAUUUUAAAAAUUUCUUUAACACAUCAAGUCUACGAAGCAGCUUACCUCAGGUAGGGUGCGUUAGGGGUGCUAAUACCUUCCCUAACCACAAUCAGUCCUUUACCCGUGAAUCUCUGACGAGACCAGUACACUCGGGUUUCCUAGUAGCCUUCAAUGAAAUACUAGGUGGCGACUCCAACGAACCAAGCAAAGCAAAGAGAAAGAGACAAAAAGUCGCCAAGCCCGAUGCCGCGUGGAUUUUUUGACGUGCGACAGAAUGGCGACUCCGCUGGGAAAGGUAUUGUUUUCAACAUUAUUGGACUAAGCUUUGUGUAUUUGAUGAUUUUGCAUUUUUGUCUUAUUUUAUUUUUGUUUUAUCCAUGCAUUUUGUAGAAUUGUCUCAUGCAUCACAUAUUGUAAUUUUUUAAAGCACACACAAGCUUCAGGUUAGGAGGGGAACUAGCAGCUUACCUUAUGACUUUUAGUCAAGGUUUAAGUUUGUGUAAACCCCAACUCUUCGUUGAGUGCUUAGACUGGUAAUAGUUGGACAUGUGCCAUCUCAUUGCCUACAAGCCCCUAUAUUGCCUUCAAGAGGGUAAUCACUAGGACAACGAUAGACCCUUUUUAGAGACCAAGUAGUAAACCUACCUUUUGUCUCACUUAAAAAGAUUAGAACCUGCCUUUAGGAUGUAUGCUCCGUAUACAUUGUUUUGUAUCCGAGCAAGCCCUUCUUGAAGCAUCUUGAACUCCAGACUUAUGGGUGACACAAUGACCGUCGCUCAGAAAAUUUUCAUUGUAGAGUUUGUGCAAGAAUCAAGAUUCUUGUUUCAUCAUACAAGAGUUGCGACCAUAUGUCACCCCUCGAAGGGCGAGUUUGUCAUAUAGAUUACAUAUUCAUACAUUUAUCAUGCAUGUACCGGGUUGAAAGGUAGGUCCACCGCACAAGCUAUGCUGCAAGUGAUUGAAGAAAGGAUGGAAGUGAAGAAAGGUGUCAGAUAGAGGCUCAUUAUCAGAUUAAGGUUGAGAGCAUCAAAGGUGAAGUAGCUAGACUCAGAUUUGCUCGAACAAGUGUUGAGCAUCAAAUGGAAAGAGAAUGUCUGCACAGUUAUCUGUGGGAACACUGCUUGUUCACGUCCAAAUGAAGUUGUACCUCUCUUUUUCAGUCAUGAACAACAACAACAAUGCCUUCAGUCAUCAACUAAUGACAACUCUGGUUCUUGUCCAGUUGCACUGUUAAGUGUUCAUCACCUCCACAUCAUCUAAUGGAACCAAACGACUACUAGCCUCCUGUACAUGGUGCAUUAGUCUUCUUUGAAGUUACCCCAAUUAUGAGCUCAAUUCCAGUUCAGCAGCACAAGAUGUUGGUCUGAAAAACCAUGAUUAGACACUGAACUUCUACGUGGUAGAGCUCUCUCUAUAGAGAUUUAUUGGUGGAUCUGCCAAUGGAAAAUGCAAGAGAGGAUUUACUAAUUGCAUAUGCUACAAAUAUUUCUCUCAUCAGUUUCAGCACGAAGAAACUGUAGCAGGUUGAAGAGCCAGACUUGGUUUGAAAAACAUGAGCAUACAUCAAACUUCAAUGUAGCAGAGAUCUCUCGACAGGAAUCUGUUUGUGGAUAUGCAAGUGGGAAAUCCAAGAAGGGAUGCAGUGGUUUCAGAUUGUCCAUAAUUGUUUCCUUCUAGUAUUGGCUUUAAAACACAAAAGUGGUUGUUUGCUGCACCGUCAGUGAGGAAUCAAAGAGGAAAAAGAAGAUGUUGUAGAUUCAUCGGGUUCUGUUCUAAUUUUGACAAUAUGUGAUUCCAUACAUUUUGUUUUUGCAUACUGCCAGGAUUACCUAGAUAUUGAGAGGUUUCCAACAAUCCUAAAACAACAACAACAAUAUUGGAAGAUUGACAUGAAGUUGUGUGGAUUGCCAAAAAAAAUUGAACAAGCUAUCAAGAUGGGAAAGAUUGAAGGUUCUGCCAAGGAUUCUAGAGAAACGAUGAGAGAUGAAUCAGAAGACGACUCUGAAGGUGGGAAACCUUAAUUAUAUGGUCUUGCCAAGUCUCGUUGUAUCAUCGACCACUCCAAUGUCUUUGCCAAAGAUAGACAUUCAUUUACCAUAUGGUAUAAUCCUGACAAGAGAUGUGAUGUGAUGGUGUGGUCCUCGACCAUUUCAAUGGAAUAGUUGCAAGAAUUUCAAUUGAACAGUUGUCAUGUGAGUUUAUUUGCCAGCAUCUGCUAGAUUCCAGACUUUUACCUGACUCUGAAAAAUCCCAUGCAACCACCAUUUUCUAGGUGGUUUAAUCCAAACAAGAGAUGUGAUGUCAUGGUGGGGUCCUCAACCAUUUCAAUUGAGCAAUUGCAAGAAUUUCAAGAAGCGAGUCUGAAAGUUGGUGAGCAAGGGACAAGUGGAGUCUGUAAAGGAGGGUGUCAUUGGCUAUAUUGUCCCCCGAACAUCUUCAAAAUGACAUGUGAUCGAAAGUGCUUGGCAAAACACAGAUAUAGCCAGAAUAGCUUAUUCAAGAAUGGUGAUCAACUGUCAAUCAUAUUGUUAUGGAAUUUUGCAUUUUUGUUUUGAGAUCACAUCUUAUCCUUCAACGAAACAUGUCUUGCUUUUGUCUCUUUGUUGUUUUGAAAUCAACAGAUGUUUUCUGACAAAAUAUUUUGAUCAAACUCCAACAUGCGAUAAAGGUUAAUCAAUCCGGAAGAUUAAAAGUGUUUUGAUUACAGAAAUGACUCGAUGCUUGAAAAUGACAUGAGGUGACUAAACAAUUUUGAACUCAUACCUCCUGAAACUGAACCACACAUCAUAUAGCUAAGUUUAGCAGUAUGCAUAAUGACAUGUAGUGGAUUCGGUAGUUAUGGACUCGUGAAUCAUGAUUCUUACAAGUCCUAAUCAUUACACUAGAUGGGGUCAAAAUUUAUCGGUUCUAACCUACCUUGCUUGAAAUGAGAAAAGGUCAUCUUUGAUAUCCCUUCACUUUCUAAAGAUUAUAUCCCUUGUAGUCCCAUUUUUGAGCUGGAUAGAAUAUUCUUUUCAUAAAAACCCUGACUAGGAUCACACCCCACACUGGGGGCAGAUGAGAGAUAUGUUGGAGACAUUGAUAUAAUUAAUGGAUAAAGGGGAAGGCUUAGAACAAAAGUCCAAUGAUUGAGAGAGAGCUAAAAGAAAACACAUAGACUAGGGGCAUAUAAGAAAGUUUUGAGGAAGGCUAGGAGAAAAAAAAAAGAGAAUGAAAAAAAAAAAGUUAAAAUUGCCUUCACUUAAAGACAAGUCAAAGAUAAAGGAAGGAGAAUGCCUAUCACGUCUAUAAAGAGCAAAAGAAAUUUCAAUCAAGGAAAGACACAACAAAAGUCAAUACCAGAAAAAACACUAAGCUAUAAACGUGACUUUUGGUAUCCAUUAUAAAGCCUAUGAUGUUAUCAGAUGAUUAAGGUUGGUUAUUCAUCAAGGAAAGGUGGAUUUGCAUUAUAACUUAUGUUAAGAAAAGUCUGAUAUUUGAUGUUAACAAGGUUAUAUGUCGUUUCCUCUACAAAGACAACAAUAGAAAAGAGUUGAUGAAUAGUUGAUGUUGAUCCUAGGUCUUUGAAACCCUCAAACACCUUUUGAGCCUUUGAAAUUCUUUUCUUUCAUAGCCAUGAACCAUAGCCUGCAUUACGUGCUUUUAAAAGCCCUUUUUAAUCAAGCAAGCAAUUUGAACCGAUAAAUGGCGCUCUCAAAACUUGAAGAGUUUUUCCAUAAGAUUCGUGGCUUCAUGAAUUAAGCUACUAGUUAUUAUACAUGCUGAUAAAAUUGGUGCUAAAAAAAAAAAGAAAACAAUCUUUCUUGAUGAAUCCUCAAGUUUUGACUUAAGCUUUUUGUUCACAGAAGGUCACCUCAUCGUAGACCAUCAAAAGAUUUACCCAAGACCAAAGAUUAAAACUGACAUAAAGAACCAUGGAAAAAAAGCCAUUUUUAUCCUACAUUGGGUCAAUUUCUGUUUUCAAAAUCAUAACAAUCAAAGGAAUGUCUAUUUCGAAUAACAUGUGUUGGGUCUUUAAUCAAAAAGCUUGAUUUUCAAAAGGUCUUUUCAAAAAAGGACAUCUCUGAUUUCAUUUCAACAAAUUAGACUUUGAACAGACAUGAUCGUUGAAAUAUGAGAGUUGAUUCCAAAACAAGGAAGAUUAUCGGACACAAAAGAACAUCGAUUGAGUCUCCAAAAUCCUUGAUAGAAAUGACAUUGAAGUCCUCGACACUCCUUGAGAAGUUGAGCAGCUGAGGGCAAUACAGAGGACCCUGAAAAGGAAAACAAGAAGUAUUCAGAUCAGAUGAGGCAAUGAAGGAUGAUUAAAUGAUGAAUCAGUGAACUGAAGACAAUGAUGUUCAAAGAAAGAUAAUCAAUGAACGAGCACAUUCAGAUCAUACUUGGGGCAAUGUCGUUCCAAAAUGGCCCAUGCUCUAGUGAACCCUAUCGGCAAUGGAGAAACAAAGAUCUACUUGAAGGACAUCUUCACAUCAUCAUCUUUUGAAAUAUGGUCAGCGAUCGAUGAGGAUACAUGAUUGAAUGUAAUUGAAUGGUGAAAAGAUGCACACCACCAAGACUGACUGUGGAACAAUGCUGCACUCGAAGGAAAAUUUCAUAUUGUCAUCCUUUGAAACAUGGUUAUCGACAAACGUUAUCACACAAAUGCAUUGAAUGAAUGUUGGAAAGGCACCCACCUCGAAGACUGCCUGUGGCGCAAUUUGUUUUGAAGCCAAAGGCGCACUUCACCGCAUGAGUAUGGGUGAUAAAAGCAACAUCACUGAUGAGGCCGAGAGAUUUCUUUUCACAAUCUGAUUAGAAGAGUUGAAGGGAAUCUAUUGAGAAGAGCACUGAGCAUACAACCAUGAGCAUUUGUACUACAAGCUAUGAGAUGCAUGUCUGGACGACUGGAUGAUUUUCAAGAAGGUUAAUGAUAACAUGUACUUGAAGAGUACUGUUUGAACUAGAGGCAAAUUCAUGACUGAUUGACAAUUUUAAUGGGCAUUGACACGAUGCACAUAUUCAAUCAAAGAACAAUUCUCGGAAGAAUCCAGGAGAUAAGCUCAUUCAUGGAAUCAAGCUACAUCACACAUGGAAGCAUGGUCAAGCUUGAGAAGCAAUAAGAGCAGUAAAAGAAAGCUUUGAAUAACAAACAAAGGUGUUGUGAUGAUGGAACAUCGAAGAAGGGGGACCUAGAUUUCAAAUCAGGUAAGGAUGCAUGCAUGUCAUCUAACAUCGAAGCAUUGCAUAUAUCUUUGGUUUGGUGCAGGAAAAAUUCUUGUUUGUUCCAGCAAGAUUGGGGACAAAGAAAGAAUUGUUGAUUUGAAGAACAACAAAGAAUCAUGGUGUUGACCCUGGAACGGGAGGAAGAUGAGAUAAACCCUAACAUUAGGGAAAUCUCAAAGAAAUAAGAAGAUCAACGAAGAAGAGUCUUCAAUUCAAACCCUAUCAUCUUGAAGAAGGAAUAUAUUUUUUGGUUAAAGGAGAUUGCCAGAAGGAAUCUCAGGUUAACCACAACAUGAAGAUUUUAGCUUUGGUUGAAGGGAGUCGCUAGGUGGGAUUCCAGGUUGACCUAGCUACACACAGAUUUUGGUUCCGGUUGAAGGGGAUUGGCGAGGGGAUCUCAGUUUAGCCCAACCACAAAGAUUUUGGCUCUAGUUAAAGGAGAUUGGCGAAGGGAUCUCAGUUUAGCCUAGCCACGAAGAGACUUUGGUUAUGGUUAAAGGGGAUCGGUGAAGGGAUCUUAGUUUAACCUAACUGCAAAGGGUUUUGGUUCUAGUUCAAGGGGAUCGGCGAAGGGAUCUCAGUUCAACUUAACCACAUAUAUUUUGGUUCUAGUUAAAGGGGAUCGGCGAAGGGAUCUCAGUUUAGCUUAACCACACACAAACUUUGGUUAUGGUUAAAGGGGAUCGACGAAGGGAUCUCAGUUUAACCUAACUGCAAAGGAUUUUGGUUCUAGUUGAAGGGGAUCGGCGAAUGGAUCUCAGUUCAGCCCAUCCACAAAGAUUUUGGCUCUAGUUAAAGGGGAUCGGCGAAGGGAUAUCAAUUUAGCCUAGCCACGAAGAGACUUUGGUUAUGGUUAAAGGGGAUCGGCGAAGGGAUCUCAGUUUAACCUAACUACAAAUGAUUUUGGUUCUAGUUAAAGGGGAUCGGCGAAGGGAUCUCAAUUCAGCUUAACCACACAAAUUUUGGUUCUAGGUAAAGGGGAUCGGCGGAGGGAUCUCAGUUUAGCUUAACCACACACAGACUUUGGUUCUGGUUAAAGAGGAUCAGUGAAGGGAUCUCAGUUUAGCCUAACUGCAAAGGAUUUUGGCUCUAGUUAAAGGGGAUCUGCGAAGGGAUCUCAAUUUAGCCUAGCCACAAAGAGAUUUUGGUUAUGGUUAAAGGGGAUCGGAGAAGGGGUCUCAGUUUAGCCCAACCGCAAAAGAUUUUAGUUCUGGUUGAAGGGAUCGGCGAAGGGAUCUCAGUUCAGCCCAACCACAUAGAUUUUGGUUCUGUUUGAAGGGGAUCGGCAAAGGGGUCUCAGUUCAGCCCAACCACAUAGAUUUUGGUUCUGGUUAAAGGGGAUCGGCGAAGGGAUCUUAGUUUAGCCUAGCCACGAAUAGACUUUGGUUAUGGUUAAAGGGGAUCGGUGAAGGGAUCUCAGUUUAACCUAACUGCAAAGGAUUUUGGUUCUGGUUAAAGGGGAUCGACGAAGGGGUCUUAGUUUAGCUUAACCACACACAUGAUUUUGGUUCUGGUUAAAAGGAUCGGCGAAGGGAUCUUAGUUUAGCCUAACCACACAUAAUUUAGCUUUGGUUAAAGGGAAUCGCUAGAUGGGAUUUCAGGUUAACCGAGCCACACAUCGAUUUUUGUUCUUGUUAGAUCGCCAGAUAGGAUCUCAGGUAAACCUAAUCAAAAGGGCAGGUCUUCCGUGAAAAUAGACCACUUUGAGUAUGUGUGGGCAGGUCGCCCAUGAAAAUAGACUAGUGUGAAAGUGUGGGUCGGUCACCCCUGAAAAUAGACUAGAGUGAGUAUGUGUGGGCAGGUCGCCCCUGGAAAUAGACCAGAGUGAGUAUGUGUGGGCAGGUCGCCCCUGAAAAUAGACCAGAGUGAGUAUAUGUGGGCAGGUCGCCCGUGAAAAUAGACUAGUGUGAGAGUCUGAGUAGGUCGCCCCUGAAAAUAGACCAUAGUGAGUAUGUGUGGGCAGGUUGCCCGUUAAAAUAGACCAGCGUGAGUGUGUGGGCAGGUCGCCCCUGAAAAUAGACCAAAGUGAGUAUGUGUGGGCAGGUCACCCGGAAAAUAGACCAGUGGGAGAGUGUGGGUCGGUCGCCCUUGAAAAUAGACCAGAGUGAGUAUGCGUGGGCAGGUCGCCCGUGAAAAUAGACCAGUGCGAGAGUGUGGGCUGGUCGCCCCUGAAAAUAGACCACUUUGAGUAUGUGUGGGCAGGUCGCCCGUGAAAAUAGACUAGUGUAAGUGUGUGGGCAGGUCGCUCUUGAAAAUAGACCAGUGUGAGUAUGUGGGCAGGUCACCCCUGAAAAUAGACCACUUUGAGUAUGUGUGGGCAGGUCCCGUGAAAAUUGACCAGUGUGAGUGUGUGGGCCGGUCGCCCUUGAAAAUAGACCACUUUGAGUAUAUAUGGGCAGGUCACCCGUGAAGAUAGACCACUUUGAGUACUGAGGGCAGGUCGCCUGUGAAAACAGACUACUUUGUGAGUAUGUGGGCAGGUCGCCGGUGAAAAUAGAUCAGUAUGAGUGUGUGGGCCUGUCGCCCCUGAAAAUAGACUACUUUGAGUAUGUGUGGGCAGGUCGCCCGUGAAAAUAGACCAGUGUGAGUGUGUGGGCAAGUCGUCCAAGAUAAUGAAAUCAUUUUCCUUUUGUUUUCUUUACAAAGCUUACUAUGCAAAAUAUUGAGGAGUUUUGCUUCAUAAGCAUUGUAAAGAGGGGGCAACUGUUAUUACCCAAUUUUGACCCACCUUUUUGAUAAAAUUUUCAGAAAAUUCAAAAAUAGCGAAAACAACAAAAAUCCAAAAAAAAUAUGUUUUUAAUAUAUUUGCAUCGUUUUUAGCAUUUUCAAUGUCGUUUUUAAAAAAAUUAAUUUUCAAAAGAUUUUUGAACGCGUCCGACUUUUCAUGCGUCAUUUUUAAAAUCAUUGAUUUUCCUCAUUGAGUCGACGUUGAUAUUGCUCGUUUUCAAAAAAUACAAAAAAAUUAAGAAAGAAUCAAAUUUACAAAAAGAAAGAAGUUGAGGGACCAGUUUUGAGCCCCUGACAACAUUUUACCUAUAAAUAUAGGUUCAAAACUCAAAAGAAAGGAGGGGGUAAUUUUGAGAAAUGAGGGGGAGAGGCCACACAAGAAGAAACCCUAAAAGCCUUCUUUUUUCUCCCCUCACGAGGAGGCAGCCGCCAGCCCCUCCACACCUCCCCUUUUGAUUUUUUUUCUCUUCUCCCUCAACCGGCGCAGCCCCCUUCCCCGCUGAUAUUUUUUUUUUCCUCUCCCCAGCCUCAACCACUCCAGCUGCCCAGCCGUUGGGCAAACCAGCAGGUGUCCAAGCCUUUGCAUUUUCCUUCUCUUCCCCCCGAUCUGUCCUUCCUUCUCUCCUGAACCGGCCGGCCGCUACCACCUUCUCCUCCUCUCAACAGCGCCUCCACCGAAACCACAGACCGAGCGCCCACCGAAGCCAACCGCUGCUCACCCUCUUCCUUCUCUCAGCUUCCCUGCUCAACAACUGCUCUCUUCUCCAUAAUGAAGUCAGUCGAACGGACGACAGCAGCAAGAGCCCCACAGACGACAAAAACAGCAAGGUCAUCCGCCGCCGCCACCAACAGGAGUGAAGGCCAUCUUCACCGUCAGCCGUAGCAGCUCCAUCCUCACCAGAUCUUCACCUCCUUCAACCGGCCUCACCAGAAAUCAAACGGACCGAGAGGGGAGAGAACAUGAGUGAAACAAAUUUAAGAAGGGAGAAGACCCAAAUGAACUAGUUUUGAGAAGGAGAAAAGAAAACUAAAAUCGACUGCUUUGUUGUGUUUUUUUGGUGUUUAUGCAGGUCACCGCCGGCGAGAAAGAAGGGAGGAAGCCAUUUUUCGGAUCUCCCCUCUGGCUGGAUUUUUACGGCGGCGCGUGGGGAGACGCGCCGCCACUGUUCAUACGGUUGCAGAUGGCCUUCCCUGCAAAUUCUAGAGUUUUAGGGACCAUUUUGUAUUUUUUAAAUUAUGUAAUGUAAUUUUUGUUUAGUGUUGAAUUUUUUUUAUAUAAUUUGUAAUGUGGAUGUACAAAAAAAAAGAACAAAAAAAAAAAAAAAAAAAACAAAAAGUAUAGUGAAAAAGAAAUGUGUGAUUUGUAUUUUAUUUAUGAAUGUAUUUUUUGUAUGAUAAAAUUGCAAGAAUAAAGAAGAUUUUAAUAUUUUGAUUUGCUCAUGGACAAAGAAUUAUGAACUUACACAUAAGUUGUAUUUCUAAAAUUCGAUGAAAGAAAAGAAUUUUUAAAAUUUCUUUAACACAUCAAGUCUACGAAGCAGCUUACCUUAGGUAGGGUGCGUUAGGGGUGCUAAUACCUUCCCUAACCACAACCAGUCCUUUACCCCUGAAUCUCUGACGAGACCACUACACCCGGGUUUCCUAGUAGCCUUCAAUGAAAUAUUAGGUGGUGACUCCAACGAACCAAGCAAAGCAAAACGAGAAAGAGACAAAAAGUCACCAAGCCAGAUGUUGCACGGAUUUUUUGACGUGCGACAAUGAUAACUUGAAAAAAUAUGUUUUUUUCAAAAGGGAGCAAAUAAUACAACUCAGUUCAUAACCUAAUAAAUACAAAAGAACAAAAUUGGAUAAAAAAAUAACAUAAAAAAUACGGUCCUAGUUAAUCGAGUUAGCAUAACAAGAUUGUAACCUUAGUAAUUAGGGUGGAGCCAACUCAGGAUAUUUCACUAAACUCAUGACGUAGGUCAUGAAAACUAUAAAAACCAAAUAAAAAAAAUAAAGAGAAUCAUAAAUCUCAUUUUUUUGAAAAAAUUAUCAGCUCGCGUUAACUUUUGGAUCAUUAAAUGUAAAAAGCCAGUUAUAAGCUAACCCGACCAAAAUAAAAUGAAAUAAUAAUAAUAAUAAUAAUAAUGAUAUAAAAAAACUUGAAUAAAUAAAUAAGCAUCGAGAGGGACAAAAUUAAACAAAAAACAAAAGAGUGAUAAGACAUUAAUUUAUUUAGAAGGAAAGGAUGGGGAUAAAUUUGGAAAAAGCUAAACAAAAAGGGAUCAAUGUGCAAAAUUUAAAAGAUGAGACUAUAUAAAUGCCUAAUUUUUCUUCUCUUGGCCAAUGGCUAGAAACCAUAAGAGAUGGAGAGAAUUUGUGUGAUUUUUCUUUUUUUUUUUUCUUGCUCAAUAUAUAUAUAUAAAUUUAAAAGAGGAAAAAGUGUAAUUAGAACUUAGUUAAACAAUUAAAAGGGGUGAUUUAGUUCUUGGAAGUUAUUUUAAAAAAUGAAAUCCAAAGCUAGAGUUUAAAAAGGGAGGAGAAGGGAAUUUAAAUCUUUCUUCCAUCCAUUCCUUGAAUUGCUAUCCAAGUAAGUUAAAGAACAUGUUUAAAAUUAUUAAUUGUUAUAAUCUUAUGUUUUGAUGAAGAAAUUAAAUUGUUAUGAUUAUGUGAAAUGGAUGAUAUAUGGUGUUUAUUAUUGAAAUGAUGCAAAUUAUGAUUAAAUCAUGUUAGAAAGUAGAAUUAUGAUUGGCUAAAUAUUUAAUUUAAAAAUAGAAAAACCAAAACUCUCUCCCCCUUAAUUAUUGGUCUCAACCAAAGGAGAAGAUUUGGGAGAUUGGGAAAUUUUAUACAAUUGUGAGAAUUUAUAGGAUUAUAAAUGUUAAUAGAUGGAAUGUAAAAGGAUUUUACAAAAAAAAAUAAAAAAUUCACCCUUUUCUUUGUUGGGGUUUCAACCAUGACAUAUAAAAAGAGAAAAAGGAUUUUGACUUGAAUUUUAUUAAUAUAAGAGAGUGAUUUUAGACGAAUCGAAUGGGUUGUUGAAGAAUUAAAAAGUUAAUUUCAAUGAAAGGUCGAAAAAAUAAAUUUAGAAGGAGCUGUACAUACCACGUAAAUGACGUGGAUGCCUCCCAUGCACCUAAAAAAACAUAUGAAGAAAUUUUUUUUUUUCAAAGUGCUUUUGAAAAGCAAAAAUAAAUAAGCUCUAAAAACCUAUUUAAUAUUAGGGUAGCGGUUGUUUUUCACUUGAAAAUAUAUCAAAAUAAUUUUUUUAUUAUUUUUUUAAAAUUUAUUUUUGAUACUAGCAUAUCAAAUAAUUUAAAACCUCUAAAAAAAAUUAAUUUGAAAUAAAAAAAUAAAAUAAAAAAUCAUUUUAAAAAAAAAUACUUAAAAAAAAAAAAUAAAAAAGGCUAUAAGCACCUCGUUUGACCAUGCGUCUUUAUGUUGUGAUUGUAUUAAUAGCACUUGAAAAAGUAUAGGUUGUUAUGGUGGGUUGGGCCUUUUUAGUAUAAAGCCCAACUUAAUUAAUGGAUCUUAAAAUAAAUGGCUUCUUAUAGUUGAGUAACUAUUCUUAAAACCCAUGAUCCAUCUAAGCCCAACUUAGUAGGGAUCAAACCCAAAGUUAUUACUGCUUAUAUAUAUUUGUUUACAGAAGAGAGAAAGUAAAUUAAUUACUACUGCUUUGUGUGAAGUUACAAGAAAUAUCUGGAAACACUAAUAUAAACAAUCUUUCCAAUGCAUAUAUUUUGAGUAAUUUUCUCAGCAUCUUUUAAAUAAACUUUAAUCUAUUUAACCAGUGCAACCCGUUACACGGUAUUGAAAAAGAUCAUGCUAUUAUUGGGAGAAGAUUAGAGUAAAUAGACACCAAAUUACAAAAUACUUUAUAUGAUGAAGAAGAGUAUUUUUCGAAUAAACUCUAUUUUUAACUAAAAUGGAUGGAGAUGAUCAACCUAAACCCAUAAAAAAAUAUUAUUACUGGUGUAUUUUGCCUAUUAAAUCAAUAAAAAUCAAUCAUAAAAACAAUAAAUAUUUUUUAAAAUUUCUUUUUUCCCCCAUAUCACAAACAUAAAAACCAUGGCAAUAUCAAUCAUGCAUGAAGGAGCGACUUGACUAUUGACCUCUUGUUUUUUUGCCCCACCCCCCAAAACAGAAAAAUCAAUUAUUAACCUAGAUAGAUAUUGAUGGUGUGAUCAUGCCGAAAAGGUAAAAUUAGGCCAUCAAUCUUUAUCAUAAAGUAGAUAUGCGGUAAUAUAAAUAAAUAUAAGCUGCUGGUCUUGGUUUCUAGAAGUGCGGUGCCCUAAUACAAUGAAAGAUCACUUUCCAGUUCAUUAAUUUUAUCUAGUUGUAUUCAUGGCUAUGGCAACCUCACUCCUUUUUCAAUCAUCGAUUAAGUGAUUAAAAUCAUAGUCAUAUGAUCAUAUCAUUACAAUUACAUGUAAAGACAAAUUAGUAUAUCAUCAAUCAGAGGUAAGAUAAAUAAUAUCAUCUUUUAGUUUUUUUAGGGUUUAAUUAAUCCAAGACAUGUUUGGAAGUAUGGUUACUAUUUUUUAAAAACAUUUCAUGCAAUACAUCAAAAUGAUAUUUUUUUAUUUUAAAAAAAUUAUUUUUAAGAUCAGUACAUCAAAACGAUGUAAAAUAUAUAUAAAAAAUUAAUUUUUAACAAAAAAAAAUAUUUUUAAAAACAUGGAUUAUUAUGACAUGCAAUUUGCAGCCAUUGAUUUUGGGUUGAUGGAGAGGAAUAUAUAUAUAUAUAUAUAAAACCUUUGAAAAGCAUGAAUAUAAAGAGUUUGAUGGAUAAUUUAUAAAUAUGAAAAAUAAUGAUAUAUAACUUCGUCAUUUAUAAAAUGAUGAUAAAUAAUGUCAUCAUUUUUUUUAGGGUUAAGUUUAAUUUAAUUUCUUGAUUAUUAUGUCGUGUAAUUUGCAACCAUUGAUUUAGGAUUAAUGGAGAGCAACAACCUAUUUUAACUUUGAAACAUAACCUUUAUUUUCCGCAUUAGAGUCUAUUUAAAAGCGUGAUAAAUAAAAUUAAGUGAAAGUUUAUUUUUACGUUAUAAUUUAUUUUUUAAAGUGUUUUUUAAAUUAUAUUUAACUUGAAAAAAUAUUUUUUUAGAUAUUUUUGAAUGAUUUUAAUAUGUUAAUAUAAAAAAUAUAAAAAAUUAAGAAACGUUAUUUUUAAAAAAUAUAUAAAUAUAUAUUUUUUAAUUUGAUCGAGUAUGCGACUAUCCUUAUCGAAAUUAGAAAAAUCAUGAGAAUUUUACUUGAUGUGUAUCUUGUUUUGAAAUUUGAAUCAUGGUGAUAAAGAAGGAGAUUAUAUUUACAAGCAAAGCAAUGUAUUAAUUACAAAUAGUUAGGUGUCAGAUCCAUAGAUUCAAAUCAGCAGCCUUGAAGAAUGAGAAGUGUUCAUAAAUUUAGAUAAAUGCAGUGAUGACACUCUUAGAAAUUUUGGAGUAGAUCCAAAAUGGGAUUUCAUUUUCAAGGGAUCGAUCGUGUACUUUCAUUUAACAAAAAUUCAAAGCACAAUUGGGGAGAGUUGUUCUAGCCCACCAAACAAGUCACUUUGAAUCUAUGAUGAAUUACCACGUGGCAUCUCUAUAAUGGGUGCCCACCCCUCUUUUUUAUAUAAAUAUUUUUACCUAUUUUAUAGUAUUUUUUGAUAAUUUUAAUUUGUUGAUAUCAAAAAAUAAAACAUAAAACAAGUUGAUAUAUCUUUAAAUGAUAAAUUAUUUUAAAAAAUAUCCUACAUUGCAAUCUCAUACACAUAAACAUUGAUGUGUAUAGAUAAUUGAUGAUAUUUCAUAGUCCCAACUUAGCUAAUAAAACAAAUUUCUUCCAACCCCCUGAAUAAUAUAUUCCAAGAGGAAACUUCUUGUCCUUGUUUAUUACUCGAAAGGAGUGGGGUGGCCCUAUAAUCAUAACAAAUAUUCAUCAUUGAUUGUACUUCAUAUAAUAUGAAUAUGUUGAUUAAUAUGAUUAAUUUUUAAGGUGAAGUGUGUUUCUCACAUUGUGGUAAUUUUCAUGAUUUUAGUUUGAAAUAAAAAAUAUUUUUAAUUAUGGCUUUUAAAAAAAAAAUAUAAGCUUUAAAAAGUAUUUGUUUGAUUAAAAAUAUUGUAAGAUAUAUUUUUACAUGUAAAAUAAAUGAAAAGCAGGUAUCCAUAAAUAUAUGUUUGAUUUAAAAUAUUAUGAGAUAUUUUUUUUACUUAUUUGAUUAACAAUAAAUGAAAAACAUGUUAUUUUUGUUCAAUAUUUUAAAUAAAGCAGGGGCAAAAACUAGUAUUAAUUAAGCUAGAUAUAUGAUUUUUUUAGUUUAAUUUUAUUACUAGCUAAGUCUUCUCUGAAAAAUGAAAAAAAAGGAGAAAAAAAGAGGAAAUAAACGGGUAUAUUGUUGAAAUUAUCAGGAUCCUAGUGCAUGUGUAGCCACUUUGAUACCACCAUAGGAAUUUUGUGACCCAAAAAUCUAUAGAGAACAUUGUAUUAAGCAAUCAUGAUGAGGAGAGGCGAACAAUACGAAAGAUGAGAGGGCUCGGUGCACCGAAAUUUGAGAAAAAAACUAUAUUAUAAUCAUAAAAAACAAGAAAUUUUCUUAAUUCGACCCUUCAAUUUAAGGGUUAUUUACAUGUUUUGCACCCCAAAACCAUGCAUUACCCAUGUGGGUCUCCUUUUAUUAUUUUAUUUUCAAAUUCAUCCAACAUUUUUUUCUUCAUAUCCAACAAACCACAAGCGCGCGCCCACACAAACGUACUAGACUCUUGAAAUUUAUUAAUUUCCUUGAAGAUCCUCGACGUUCUACUAUUGAAAUAAAAACUUGUAUGAACUUGUUCAUCAUAAAUCUAUAUUGACAGGCACUCGAGCUAGCUUGUGUUGGCGAGCAGGGCCAUCAAUGGCGGAUCCUAUUCUCUAUAGCCCUCUAUCAUGUUCAACUUCGAAGAGAUACACAGUUGCCAUGGUGUUUUAGGUCAAUUCUCUAAAUGGGACAUGUUCAUGAAAGAAGGGAUGAUUUUUAUUUUUUUUUAUUAAUGUAAAUGUUCGAGUUAGUUUGCUCGAUCUCGACUAAUCCUACAUAUCCUAAAAUUAAUGAUUAUGUAAAUUUCUAGUAGUCAUUAUAUUAGUAGCUGCAUGGCUUAAAUUUAAAAUUAUAAAAAAAUAUAAAUUUCUUGAUUCUAAACCCUUACUACUAAAAUAUCUACUAGACGAUUAAUAAUGGUCUAUUUCAUAGAAUGGGAGGUGAUGGCAUUACUAUCCAAAAAUGAUCCGAUAAUGUCUUUCCAACUUUCAAUGACUUGAAAAAAGGAUAUUGAGAUAAUUUAAUUACGUCCUUUUCUACCAGUUUCAAGUCUUUACACUAAUUAUUGAGCUUACAUAAGCUUAACACAUCAAUUUUUGAUGACUUGGAUAUAGACAAGAUGUAAUUUGCUGUCAGUUGCGCUGGAGGAGGUGAUGCAUUAUCAACGCAAACCCUUUUUCAGCAUGAUUUUCAAUGUUCAUUUUGCUUCCCAAUAUAUCCAUUAAUUUCAAAGAUGCAAGUAGCCGAGAGGAAUUGUCAUUGUAUUAACAAAAUAAAUAAAUAAAUUAUUUUUUUCAUGUUCUUUUAAUUUUUUUUUGUUUUGGAUUCUUUUUAUUAAAUGAUUUUUAAAAAAAAUUAAUCUCUUAUUUUUGAAUUGAUUGAUAACUCGAUUUAUUGAUUUUCUUUUCUAGUUUUCCUUCUAUAUUGUAAUCGAGGCCUCAUGAUCGACACCAUGAGUUUGAAAGGUUAACCUAAGUUAAAUUUAAUCUUUUUCAAAAUUGAUAUGUUUUUUUUAAAAUUUUAUUUUUUAAUAUUGAAUUGGUUGGUAUUGGGUUAUAAUUGUUUUAACUUUCUUUUCUAUGAGAUUGUCCUGGUCUUAUAAGCUAAAUUAAAGGUUAGACGGGUUAACUCGGUUAAAUUAAAUAUUUUUUUUUAAAAUUGGAUUUUUUUUAAGUUUUACUUUUUUAACAUUGGGUUAGUUUGAUAAUUUAGUUUCAAAAAAAAAUUUAAUUGUUUUUCCUAGGUUAUCUCGUUUUCAUGAUAUAAAAUGCAAGUUUGGCAAGCUUACUGGGGUUGUUUUUUUUAUUCUUUUCAAAAUUAAUUUUUUUUAUAUAAUUUUGUUCUUCAAUACUAGGUUGGCUAGGAAUUGAGUUUUUUUUUUCUUCUUUUUCUUUUUGCUUUCAAUUCACUCACUUCUUUUUAGAUCCUUUUUUAAAAUUAAUUUUCUUUUUAAUUUUAUCAUUUAACUUUCACUUUGUCAUGAGAUAAGAUUAUAGAGACUUUUUAAAAUAUUGACAAGAUAUAUUUUAUAAUAUUAAAAAGCAUUCAUUUUGUGCAGGUAAUCAUUGUCAAUGUUUUUGUUUAGUUCAGUUGAUUUACUGUUACUGUCUAUUUUUGUAAUCAUGUUAUUAAAAUAACAUAGUUUAUUGAACCUUAUUGAAUAUAGUCGAGUCAAUGACUCUAGUCUUGAAUUUCUCUUGUUGUUUAAAAUAUAUUAGUAGUAUCAGUGUAUCCUUUUUUUAUAUUAGAAUAAAAUUUAGUUCAGCUCAUGGCGUACCCUGCCCACUGUUAAUUUAAUAUGCCAAGUAGCCAAUUAGUUAGUUACAUGUGAUAUUAUUAUAUUUAUGAAAAUUCAUAUUUAUUAUUAUUAAUAAAGGCUUAAUUUAUCUUUAAUAGUCAUAUAAUAUUAUAUUAAUAAAUUUAAUAUUUGAUUUAUAAAUUUAGAGUAAAGAUAAAAUCCAUGGGACAAAAAUUCUUUGCAAAAAUAAUUAUAAAGUUGUUAAAAUUAUAAAAUUCUUAUUGCAUCAAAGCAUUGUUCCUAAAAUAUUCAUGGUUAAUAAAUUAAACUGGGAUGAUUUAAUUAAAUAUGACUUGAUUAAAAUAUAUUUGAAAAUUAAAGACUAGAAUAUAAUUACUACAUAGAUUAUAUUUCUAAAUCUAGAAAAAUCAAGUAAGCACUUGAUUGAGUUAAUUUCUAGAAUUAUUUUAAAUUAAUAAAUAAAUAUUAUUCAAGGAAAAAAUUGAUAUUUUAUCAAUUUAUAGGGUUUUUCAUAUUUCUCUAUAAAUAAAUAGCUAUGCCUCUUAUGUUUUUGUGGUUGUCUUCAGACAAAAAAAACUACGUAAAUCAUAAAAUAAAAAGCUAGCACUCUAGGCAUAGUAAUCCGUGAUCUCUCCUAAAUAAAGAUUUAAAAGAUUUCUUACUGGUGGUUUGUGUGAAUUACCAUUGAAGGUCGAACAAUUGAACGAUUUAUUAUUUAUGAUAACCCUGUCUUUAAAGAAUUAUUCAAAGCCGAAGAAAAUCAGAUUUUUCAUUAAUAAAUCCAUACACAACUCUAAAUAUGUCUAACAAGAUCAUAGAGAUUCUCGAAUAAUGUUUUUUUUUCACUAUGUAUAUAAUAUUCAGGAAUCCAGCACCCACACAAUCUAAAAAAAUAUGAAAACAAAUCUGUAAUUAGAUCUAGUACAUUAGACCUUAAUAUAUACAUGUAUAUAGGCAUGGUUAGGAAAGGGUCAUCAAAGUAUUCUAAUUGAAAAUUGAUGAUUUAUUUAUUUAUUUAAUUCAAGCACCAUAAACUUAUCAGAAAACAACACAAACAUAUAUAAAUUGAUAAAGAAUGUGACACAAUUAUGGAAUUCAAAUACCUUCCAAAAUGUCACAACACAACAACCUUGCCCACAGGUUACAAAAGAAUUUAAGAGAAAAAGAACCUGUGAUUUCCAUGCGGUGCCAGAGCCACCAAUGGAAAACGUUCAUGAGAAACCGCUUCCCGUCGGAAACUUCCUGGAAAUUUCUCAUUUCUGGUUGAUAAUUAACCGGCCUCGGAGUGUCGGUUAAUUUCCUUUUUUUAAUCUUUCUUUUUAAUCCUUUAAUUUCCACCCACAAUUGUUGUUCUAGAACAAAAACGAGUUAGUAGAAAUUAAGUAAUGGUAGUGCUUUCACUUGACACGUGAAUCCACCAAAAUUAUACACAUAACCUCUCAUGCUACGACUCUUGUGUCCAUUUUGACAAGACAUUAGGUUUAAAUGUUGCACAAAAAGCCAAUAUUACGUGAAAUUUCCCAUCAUGCCUUAAGAUGGCUCCUUCUGCAGAAUAAUUUAUACACGUCAAAGAAUAUCUGUAUAUGGAUUUAUGUUUACACUAUGGUUUGGGGAAGAUGUUUACAUCAUGAGACUUUACUCUAAGAAUCAUCCAAAACACACCUCCCUCCAAAACUCUCCCUGUUCUCCUUUGGCCUUAUUAUUAUCUUUCAUUGAUGUAAAAUAUAUUCCCUCCACUCCUAAAUCCUAUUAUUAGAUAACUAUAUUAUAAUAUUCCUAUUCCAUAUCAUUUUUGAAAAUUGAGCUUUCAAACUUUAAAUAUCAUCUUUCUUAGAUCACUCUAAAAAAUUAACAAAUAAAAGCACAAGCAAUACUAAUAAAAAUAUUAAUCUCGCAAUAAUUAUUGAUAAAUACCGAUAUAAUUGUUUUUUAAAUAUUGAUUCGAUCUCGAGUUCAUAACCGAAAAAAUCUCUUAAGGGCAUGAACUAUGUAAUCCGAUUAUGUGUUCCUGAUUUUAUUAAGCAUUUUGUUAUAUAAAGGCUAAAUUUAAUUUCAUCAGUUUUUCUGGUUGAAGCUCCCAUUAUGUAAGGAAUUAGAAUACUGAAAUGGUAUCAAUUGACUAUCAUAUAUUCCUCUAGUUUUCCAACCAAGUUCGUAGAUAUGUUUGAUGAAAAUUAAUUUAAAAUAACUCCUAAGAAAAGGACACAUAGUAUAUUAUAGAAGAAAAAAAACACAAGAAAAACAAGGGAGACAUAGUAUAAGUUGGAAUCCAUACGUCAAAAGUUAAAAUAUUAUAACUUUGAUUAAAAUAAAAAAAUAAAUCAAUUUAAUCAAAAACUUAUUUCUAACUACAUAUCUAUAUAUAUAUAUAUAUAUAUGAUUCGUGGUCGGGUCUUAAUUAAGUUCUACCAAUGUAAGAGCAAAAUCUAACAAUUUUCUCGUAAAAUCUUAAUUACCCAUAGAAAGAUACAUGGUUUUUAUUGAUAUAGAUAGAGAUCGUUGAAAAACAACAAUUUUCUGGUAGUUUCGGUCUAGCUAAUCUUAUCGGCAAUUUCCAUAAAGUCUCAAAUAUAGCACUUGUAUCAUUACAUGGAGACUAAAAACAUUAAUCUGAUGUUUUUUUUUGUGAUUUUAAAUAUUUUGAUGUGUUAAUAUUAAAAAAUAAUAUAUAUUCAAUAAAAAAGCACUACCAUACACCCCAAUACCAAAUAUAUACAGAGAAAGAAAAAGAAGUUUUAUGGUUUUGAUCAUCACAUAGUUCUAACAUGUUUGCAUGUAUGAUGUCGGAAAUCAAAUCUCUAUAAUAGAGCAAAGUAAAUACUAGCCAGCCAGCUAAUUUAGUGUUGUUAGGACAUGUUCCUACUAAUUUCCAUGCAUGUGAAACCUUGCAAAAAACAUGAACCGACAGCACAGGAACAAAAGCAUAUGCAGAUGCAGGCCAGGUGGAAUUAAGUACUGUUGAUUAAUCUAGUUACCAUGUCGGUUCAUCUGGUGAAAUCAAUAUUAAUUAAAAGGUUAAACACGAAAUAAAUGACAAUGAGAUGAGCUAAUUGUGGACAAAUCAAGCAAGACAAGGCAUGUUUAUGUUCUGAGACGACAGCAAAGUGUUUCUUUUGCGUGUGAAAACGAGGUGGAGAGUCUUGAUUGGUAGGUCUAGUCUCCACAGCCCCCAUAUUUUCAUGCAGCAAAUAAGGGUUUUUUUUUUCUUUUUUCUUUUUUAUUGAAGAACAUGCUCCGUGGCGAGCUCGCUUCUCUCUGUAGCUUGUGUUGCUUGUAUGCUAAUUACUUGGAAUAAAAUAAAUGGUAUUUAGAUUCCCUUUCACUACAAAAACAUACGGACCAAGUAACCCUAAAGGGGACAUGGCUUUCCUGCAAGUCUGUGACCUAGACAGAAGCUUUGCUUCGAAUAGAAAGGAAGUUCAAUGGCUUACACUUGGUGCACAUGUUUCCGCAUGAUCCUGCCUAGUUCCAGCUUACCCUUCUUUAUUCUCUUACAGUGACGAUUCCACUCUUUCCUUUGACUCUUUCUCUCUUCUUUAACUUUUUACCCUGACAUGUUUCUGUUUUCUGUUAUCUCCCUUUUGAAAACAACUUCAUUAAAAAGAGGAGAAAAUUCAAGGGACCUAGCUGGCUGCCCCACUCUAAUCUCCUUGAUUGAAAAAUGUUUCUAUCCAAAAGUUUUGAAAAAAGAAAAGAAUAAAAAAGAAAGAGUACUACAGAUAACAGAGAAUCUGGUCACAGUUCUGCUUGCUUGGAUAUGUUAAAGAUGUAAUCAAGGUUAACGGAUGGUCAUCUUUAACCCAUUAAGCACGAUCAUUAUUUAAUAAAUGCCGAUUAUUCCAUAUAUAUAUAUAUAUAUAUAUAUAUAUAUAUAUAUAGAGAGAGAGAGAGAGAGAGAGAGAGACAUGGUGAACUUAGCGUCUAUAUUAUUGCAAUUGGUUAAUGUCUCGGAAAAAGAAUAGAUCUAAAAAGGACAAUGUUUAGCCAGAGGGAUGUCGAAAACAAAUUUGUUUUAGAAAUGGAAUUUUAGUAAAUUUAUGUCAUUUCAAAACACGUACGAAAUAGAUGGUGAUAUAUUCUCUUUUCAGUUAUUUUUAUCCUGAAAUAAUAAUUAAAUGUUACUUAUAUUUUUCAGGUGUGAACGGGAACAUAGAUAUUGAUUUAUAUCAUUUUAAUUUUAAUAAGAUGUUUCACGUGAUUCUCUUGAAACUCUUAUACUGAUAUUUGUGAUUAUGGUAUAAAGUGAUUUUCAAAAUAGUAUAUUGUUUAAAAAUAUAUUAAAAUGAUUUUGUUUUUGUUUUUAACAUUAACACAUCUAAAACCAUUAAAAAACAUUAAAGACAUUAAUUUAAUAUUUUUUAAAAUUAAAUUUAAAAAAAAAACAUCUAAAAACAAAAACAGAAACAACACUGAAAACCACCUUGAUCCAACAUAAGGUUAAUUUCCCUUCCAUUAGUAUCCCUUCCUCCAUUCAUUCAGUCUCUACUGAUAAUUCACAAGGAGAAAAUGACAAGUUAAUUUCUUGCAAGUUGUCUAUAUUUGUAACAUGAUAUCGAUCCUUAACGGCAAGGGGCAUAUAUCUAGGCCCAUUUUGAGAAAUCAGACACCAUCUAAGCUACUGUCAAUUUCUCGAACAAGAAAAGAAAGAAAAAUCGUAUCCUGGUGUCAAUCAAGUUCAAAUCAAUCCCCUUAAUCAAGCUAGGAAAGCUGGCUGCGCAUUUCUCCUAAAAGAAAUGGAUGUUAAGUAUCAUAUUAAAAUUCAUUUAAGGCCUUAAUUACCUUGUUAAUUGCACUGACUAGUAGCUGAGACGUCGAAGUGCACAGAAUUAAGGACUUUGAGUACAAUGCAUUUCGAGGUUAUUUACUUCUCUCGUUAAUUAAUUCGCAUCUAAAGAGAAAAAACGCACAUAUGACAAAAAAAAUAAAUGAUUUUCUUAUAUAGAUAGAUAUAUACACACACACACUCAUGGCAUCUUUCCUUUGGUAUCUAUCAAUCAAAUAAAAAAGAAAUCGGAAGAGGAACACCAUGAACUAAUAAAAAUCUAUACAGAUUAUAUCAAUACAAAGAACUUUCCAAACUCUAAUCAAAUUACCUAGCUAGCUAAUGGAGAAAUGGCUGUUUCAAAUCAUAUGUCCUCAGUACUUUUUCUCUCUCUUUUUUUUUUCGUUACAUUCAUGUAUCCUAAGAAUUUAAAGAACAAAUUAAACCACGCGUACAUAUACAUAUAUUCUCUAUGGUCUUCAAUAAUCCCACAAGCAAUCCAAAUCUGCAAUGGGGCCAGCUGAUGGACCCUCAAGAUCUUCAAAAACCUUAUCAUGGCUUCCUAUUUCUUGCUUUGAAACCACAGAUGAUAUCUCAGCUGUGGUGUUCACGUCUGUGCUAAGUCCAGUGUCCUGUGAAAGGCUGACCAUAGAUUGAUUAGAUGAGAAGCGCUCAACCUUGCACUGUUUCUCCAAUCCAGAUGCUUCUCUAUAACUAUUUCUAGCUAACGAUCUUAGAAGGGCAUGUUCAUUGUCACUGAAGAUAGAGUUUUGAAAGUUUUGGAAUGAAUUAGAAGAACUCUUUCCUUGGUGCAAGUAGCCAGGCAUAUUGGGAGUACUGGUUUGAAAGGUGUAAAGAGGAUUUGAGGCUGCAAUUUGAGGGUGAAAACUGGAGUUUGGUGCUUGGUAGUUGGUAUUCGGAGGUUGAACAAAGUUUUGAUUGUUGUUGAGCAUGCUUGUAUUGGAGAAAUAAUUUCCAUCUGAUGAUCUUGUUGCCAUUGCCUUGAACUCAUUGUUAUCGCCACCACUGAAGCUGCUGGUGCUUGGCCUGCUAUUGUAAUUAAGGGGAUCCAUGAAAGGUGGCAGGGAGGAGUAAUCCAAGAAAUCAUCUCCGAAAGAGUUCACCCUUAGGAGGUCAUGAAUUGAGGUUUUCUUGAUGCCUGUACUCUUGUGGAAAAUCCUGCAAACUACCCAUUCAUCCUGUAAAAACAUGGCCAAAAAAAGAGUCAUGCUCAGUCCAGAUUCUUCUUUCACACAAAAGCAAAAGCAAAAAGAUAGAUAAAGCAAAACAAAAAACAAAAAAACAUGAAAGAAACUCUCCACCAAAUCAAAAGCAAAGAAAUGAAAAACAUUUAAAAGAUGUGACAAUAAGUAACAACUCAAGCUUUCUUUAAUUACAACCAAGAGAAAAACGUACAAGAAAGGAAAAAAAAAUGGAAUUUUGUGCAUGUGGAUGCAUACCCUUGCAGCCUUGGGGAGGCUAUAGUACGAGAAUUUGCCUUCAAGCCUGUAUUCAUGCAUAACCCAAUUUGAUUUCUCUCCUUUUGGAGCUCUUCCUUUGUAGAAAACAAGAGUCUUCUUCAUCCCGACAAGGCUGUUUUUUCCCUUGUAAAUUUCCUUGUCUUUCCCUGUAGCCUUCCAGUACCCAGAUUCUGUAGCACGAUUGGUUCUCAUACCAGUUGGAUAUUUCCUGUCUCUUUGGCAAAAGAAAUACCAUUCUUUCUCCCCCAUCUUUGCUUUCUCUGUUCAAAACAAGUCUUUUUCAACAUUUGGACCGAAAAUUCAGCAACAAAUUAAAAUGAACAAAACCAAGAUUGAUUAAAGAGGAUUAAGGGUGGUGUCUUAAUAUUGACCCUAAAGAAACUAGGAGUUGGUAGAAAGAUGAAAACUCACUUGGCAAAUCCCAUGGCUCGCACUUAUUGAGAUCAACUUCACCAAUAGCACUUGCACAGAAGCAACCAUUCAUCACCUUCUCUGUAAGAUAAUGAGUUAUUAUCUCUUCAUCUGUAGGGUGGAACCGGAAACCCGGUGGCAGAUCAAUCAGAUCAUCUCCUUUGUUCACCACAAUAGCUUCCUCCAUUGUCAUCACACAACGAGCUAGCUACCAGCUUAAUUAAUUCUCCGAACUACCUAUAAGACUAUGAGCGCGUGCCUCUGUGUGUCUGUGUGUUCAUACACACACAAAGCAAACAAGCUAGAAGAAGAGGGAGGAUUCUUGGUAUUUUGUUUUUUUUGCAGGAAAAUUUAGAAGAGAUAGAGAGCAGUUAAGAAAGUAGAGCAAGGGCCUUAAAGAGGGCUUAAAUAGAGGUUAGCAAAACAUUGCUGUCUAACAUGAAGAUCCGUAGGCUGCAAGCAAGCCUUGUUUGAAGUCCUGGGGAAGCCACUGGUUUAAAUGAUUCAAUAGGUUUUUUUUUCCUCGAUGGUGUGUUGUUCUGCUGCGCUGUUUUCUUAGCUGGCUACUAUAUCAUCUACUUGUUUGAAAAAAUAAUGUGAAAAAGGGAAAUGGUAAAAGGAGCUUUCGUUCUAAUUAUAUCAUAUGCUGGUGGUGGGGGGCCAUGGAUUUUAGCAAUAAAGAACUUGGAAAAUGGAGGCCUUUUUAUUUGCUUGAAACUGCCUAACCUUUUUUAUUAAUUUUUUUAUAAUAAGCUCGAGAUUCUAAUCUAUCGGUUUUUUAGUCUCUUAAUUUAACCAAUAGUCUUAGUUCAAUGCCCUCGAGUAGUUCCUAUGUAUUAUCAUUAAGAAAAACUGUUACUUUGUCAAUUUUCAGUUUAAUUCUUCCUGGCUAAUUAAGUAGCUCUGCUAGCUACUAUUGUUGACUGCUACUGCCAUGCCUUAACAAGUGUCAACGUUUUUUUUAAAUUAUUUUCUACCUAAAGAAAUUGCCAAGCUCGUGGAUGGUUUUGAUUAUAUAUUAAUGUUAAAAAUUAAAAAAUAUUAUUUUGAUAUAUUUUUAAUUAAAAAAUAUUUUUAUAAUUAACAUCAAACACACAUAAUUAGGUCAAUAGCUACGUACAAAUGACUGUGUACACGGAUUCAUAUUGAAAUCAUAAUUAUUAAAUCCAAUUCGAGAUAUGACCUAACCCAAAAUUAAAUCCAGUAACGGGUUGAUUGGAUCAAUUAUAAAAUGAUGUUGUUUUAGUUUUUAAAUAAAAUGAAAUAAAUUUGGAUAAAAAUUAAAAUUGAUGUUAUUUUUUACAAAAAUUAAAAAAAUUCUUCAGAAUCGAUUUGACUAAAUUAUAUUUUGAUUUGGUUGAGUUCCAGGUAACCCUCUAAAUUACUAGAUUUUGAAUGGAUCCACAUUUAUCAUGAUUUAAGAAAAAAAUCUCCGUCAAAAUAAGACAAUUAGUCAAGCUGAAUUUAACAACUACAAAAUAAAAAUAAAAAAGGACGGAUGAUUCCCUAAAUAUAUGCAAAGCAUGCUAAGUGGAGGGAAUCUAGGGAACUAUAUAUAGAUGAAGAAAUUAGAAAUUUCAAAGCUUUUAAUCUAAUUAGAUUUGAGCCGACCUAGUGCUAGUUCUAUUACUUGUAGAUUUUAUUUCAAUCUUGUAAUAUAUUCGAUCAGGAAAAUAUAUAGUAUUUUCACAGUACACUUCAUUUUAAUUCUAUGAAAAUUAACGAAAUAAUAACUUCUUCAUCUUAUUGCUUCUGCGUGAUUAUACUAAUCAUUUGAUGAAAAUAAUUUUACAAAGCUAGGAGUUGUAUUUAUAAUAAUAUUCUUCCAAUUUCUCUUCUAUAUAUGCAUAGGCAAGAUCGGUGUAAUCUGAGCUUUAAUUACCAUAGGAGUGCAUGCAUGCCUCUUUAAUUAUUAAUUCGUGCUGUAAAUUAUAUUGAAAAAAAUAAAAUAAAAUUAAGGAUGUUGUCUGUGAGUUCAUAUAUUUUUAUUUUAUUAUUAAUAUAAAUAUCCGGAUUAAUUUAUAUAUGUACCUCAAUUAAUCUCACGGAUCCUAAAAAUAAUAAUUAUAUAAGUAUCUAAUGUUUUAAAAAAACUCGAAAUUAUAAUCAUUAAAAAACAAAUAUAAUAUUUGAUCAAAUCUAAUAUUUGACCAGAUAAAAAUUAGAAAUUACCUUAUAAUUUUUAGAAACCAACCUACUCAAAAAUUUCUAUGCAAAAUGUUGAAAUCUAAACGAAUUUCAUCUUGUAGAAAUUAAAACAAAUUAAUUUCAACUUUUCCUAUCGGUAUUACUCUCAGCAUUCUGUAAUAAGCAAAUUUCUUGAGUAUCAACGCCCUUGUAGCAUCGUGGCAAUUUCAUCUAUAUAUAUAUGUGCAAAAUAUUCUAAAAAGAAAUUAAGAGAAUUUUUUUGGAAACUUCCCAUAUAAUUCAUAUGGAAUAAUAUUCACAAAGUCAAACAACUUUCUUCGAUAAGAAAUCAAACGACUUUUUGAUGCAUUAAAAGAGAAAAAGAGAUGCCAAUUAAUCCCGGAAACAGCUAGAAUCGUAGUGGCAUGCAAUUUGAACCCUCUCCACUAUUAAAAAUAGGCAAUAUCUGUUUUGAUAUUGUGAUAAUUUUUAUAUUUUAAAGUGUUUUUUAAAUUAUUUUUUACUUGAAAAGUAUUAAAUUAAUGUUUUUAUGUGUUUUUAAUGGUUUUGAUAUAUUGAUAUUAAAAAUAAAAAAAAUCUAAAAAAAACAUGUUUUUAAUACAUUUUAAAUUAGAAAAUAGUUUUUAAAAAUAUAUUAUAUCAUAUUAUCAAACAUACACUUAAUCCAUUAAAAAAAAAGCAUGUUAAACAAUAAAUUAGACCAACCCUAUCUUCUUUUAGCGACCUUGAAAACAAGUCAUAUUAAUUAUGAAUAAAAAAAAUCAAAGUAUUACAUGUUUUUCAACCAAGUAUCCGAACACAAAACAAUUCCCAAUUGAAUCUCCAAACACCCCCAAAUUAAAAUUUAUUACAAAAAUAUACUUGUCCUUCCAUGUUCUUAAAGGAAAAAAAAAACUUAAGGCAAGAACUAAUUAUCAUAAUUAGGAAAUUCCAAAUUGAGGGGGCUAUUUGGAAAUGUUGUUGUCUAGGGAUCCAAUUGAUAAGUAAGUUAUUGUUGGGGGUAAAUAUGUCCCUUUCCUAAAAUAAAAAGUGCCCACACGGUUUAUUACGCGGAGUCGAGUAAUGAUUAUGACUAAUUACCAUGGAAUUGACUAAAGAAAGUCGUGGCUACAUGCUCUCAAUUUGCUUUUAAAUAAAUUUUUUAAAAAAGUUUUGUAAUGUAUUAUUAAUUUUUGUUAUAUAGUUGGAUGAUAAAAAAUAUUUCCAGGUAAACUAUUGAAUCGACCGAGAUUGAAUUAUUUUUAAUAAUAUCUUAAAGACAUAUUCAAGAAAUAUUUAGUAUAGUAAAUAUUGUUCAAAUUACAUCAGCAAUGAAAAGGUAUAACAAUAAUAAUAAUAAAAAAAAAAUAGCUAUUGACUGACCUGCAAUUCCUAAAGCAAAAGGCUUCAUAUUAUGUUAUGUUGUGUGAUUAUGAUUAAUUUUUAAAGUAUUUUUUAUUUAAAAAUAUAUUAAAAAAAUAUUUUAUAAAAAAAUAAAAAAUUACUUUUGAUAUCAGCACAUUAAAAUGAUCUGAAAAUACUAAAAAAUAUUAAUUUAAAAUAAAAAAAUUAAAAAAUUAAAAUUUUUUAAAAGCGUUUUUGAAACGUAAAAACAUACAUGGUAGACAAAAUUAUGUUUCAUUUUUUUUUUCUCAAAAUAAUUUCAAGCUUUUAAAAAAAAAAACUUUAAAUAAUAUCAUUUUUAAUUGAUUCACUUAAUAUGAGUUAACCUAUCUAACCUGUAAUUCAUGUUUAAAUUAGAUUAAAUUGAAUUUAAUAAAUUUGUAAAAUACCAUACAUAAUUACAUACUUGCUUCCAAAUGAAAGGAAAAAUAAAUAAAUAAAAAUAAAAAUACCUUGACACUGACUAAUGAGCUAUUUAGAACUGCAUUUUAAAUGAUAUUUCUCUAAAUUUUGAAUUUUGUUUUGAUUAAAAUUAAUUUUUUUUAAUGUAUUUUUUUGAUGUGUUAAUAUAAAAAUAUUUUUUAAAAAAAUAAAAAAUAUUAUUUUAAAACAUGUUUUAUAAAAAUAAAAUACUUUAAAAACCAAUCAUUAUUAUACUCUAAAAAAACUAAAAUAGAAAAUCAAGCUCUAACAUCACUUUCUCUCUCUUUUUUAACCACUACAUCUUUCCAUAAAAAAGAGUUGUGCACAACUUCUCUUUAACAAAUCAACAAACUGAUUAGCACAUUUAAUUAAUUUAUUUUUUAUAGUUAUGUAUUAAUAUUAUCUUAUUCAAGUUGAAGUUUAUAUAUUAAAUAAAUUAUCGUAUGAUUAGGUGCGGGGGCCAGCUAAAUCUUCUUCCACGUGUUGACAUUCGAAACUUAAUCAUGCUGAGUUGGACUAUUACUUUCUGCCUUACAUCAUAUGCUGUGCAUUCACAUUUACUUGCCCAUGGUUUUGUCCUUUCUAUCACUUCUCACGACGCCUUCUUCUUCUUAUUAUUAUUAAUUUUUUUAAUAAAUGAGUUAUUUUCAUGUACAUUAUUUUUCAAUAGAAUUUUAAACAAGCUAUGUCAAUUUGUAAUUUAAGAUAAUUUCCAUUAAUUUAAUUGAGAAAACUCAAUUAUAAGGAAUUUGUCUCUUUACAAUAAUUACAUAUUUUGAAUUCAUUGCUAAUUACAAGGUAAAAUCAGAAAAAGAAUUAAGAAUUGUAGAAAACUUUAGUUUACAAUAUAUGAUUAAUAUAUGAAAAAAGUAAUAAAAUUCAAAGAAAUUUUCACCUUAAUUCUGUCGUUUGACUCGAAAUAAGAAUAAAAACUAGAAAGAAAAAUAGAAUUUAAUGAUAUCAUGAGAAUACAUAAAAUUAAGUAAUAAUAAAAUGAUAAGAAAACAAAUUAAAAGUUACAAUGUGCAAAUUAAACGAAACUAAAUAACCAUAAAACACCAAAAACAAAAUGUGGGAAUGAAGGCACCCAUCGUUGGUAAGAAAAAAUCAUCAUUCUAACCUUGAUAAGUGUAAAUCAACUGGUUAGAUUUUAGAUUUGCUUAUUAAAGAUCACCAGUUUGAGUCUUACAAAUCUUAUAGCCACUAAAGACUUACAUGGUCAUUAACUUCAGAGCCCAUGGGAUUAGUUAAGGUGCACUCAAACUGGCCUGGACACUCAUGUUAAUAAUAACAAUAAUAAUAAAACAUCAUUCUUAGUAGCUCAAUUUCUAAGACAUCUACAUUGUAGAAAUGGAUAUAAAAAGCAAAAAAAACAUUAAGAAUUUGUUUAUUUUUAUAUUAAUUUUUUUGCUUCAUAUUAAUUUAUUAUUAUUAUUAUUAUUAUUUUAGAUCAUUUUGAUAUACUGAUAUUAACAAUAAAUUUUAAAACAUUAAAAAAAAUUAUUUCAAUAUAUUUUCAAGUAAAACACUCUCUGAAAAUCAAUUAUUAUCACAUUACCAAAAAAACUAUUUUUUUAAAUUAAUAAUUAGCAGUUUGGGUGAUAGUUUCAAAUAUUUAAAAGUAAUAAUUUGGCUUUUAUAAAUUAUUUUUGUCAUUAAAAAUCUCCUAAAAAGAAAAGCAUAAAAGAAUUUGCUUAAGAUGAGAAAGAUUUGACGGUUAAUUAUUCGGUUUUAAAAUUCUACGUAAGUGCAUAAACUUUAUGAUAUGGGGUUUGCAUUUUAUAUUUUUAUGUACAAAGCAAUAUUCUACUUUUAAAAUUGUACAAUUCCUAGGCAAUUUGGUAAAAAUUUUACCUUGUUGUCCUACCUUUCACUUGUGGAAGAUGAAAAGUCUAAAUUUGUCUCUCUUUGCAUAAUCCUUAACCCUUAAAAAUAAAAUAACUAAUAAUUUGAUAAUAUUAUUUUUCAUAUUGGGAAUAUUGAAAAACGACACACACACACAUAUGCACGAAACAAAGAAUAACAUGAAGAUUUUUUUAAUAUAGAAAAAUAACAUAGUAUUGGUGGGUUAAUUAUUGAUAUUAGAAUUAAGCAUAUGUACAUGAAAUACACGAAACAAGCAUUGUAAGUUGUUUAUUUUGACUGAUUGUAGGAAUUUGUAGUGAUAUUAAUAUUUAUCACCAUAUCUUUUUGUCAAUUAUUUUCAUUAUUUCACCGAAUAGAUUAUUAAUCAUCUACGAAUAGAGAGCUUUUUCUGAAUAAGUAAGCAUGAAAUGAGACGACUAAGUCUCUAUGGAAUCAAAAGGAUGUCUAAAAUAUGAGGCAUUAUUAAUUAUAACAAUUAGAUUUAAUAUUAAUUGGUGUGAUUUUUCAUUUUUCUAGUUUCAUUAAAUAGUCAAUGUUUUUUUAAUUAAUAUGAGUGUUUGGGUCAGCUUGUGCGUACCUCGACUAUUCUCAUGGGCCUUGAAGUUAACGAUCAUGUAAGUCUCCAAUGAUUCUGAAGUUUGUAGGAUUUAAACUAAUGAACUCUAAAAUCUAAACAAUUGAGCUAUACCACUCAAUGUUUUUAUUAAAUAAUCAUCAUAUAUAUGCAACAUAUUAAAUCUUAAAUUAUUAAGUUAUACAUAAUUAUUUUUCUUUUUUUUUAACUCAAAUGAGUUGCAUAUUUGGACAACUCAUACUUGAGUUGUCUACUUAGAAAAAUAUAGUUUAAUAUUGUUUUGCAACAUGGUAUAUUGUAGGUUAUACUAUAAUAAAAUUAUAUUUUUUUGUUUUUAUUGCCAAAACGCAAGUUAUACUGAUAUCAUGCAUCACGUUAUUAAACGAAUACUUUAUUUAUGGUAUGAUUUGUAAAAUAAAUUUAAUUAUCCAAUGGAUAUGGGAGCAGGACAUUGAGGCAAUCAGGAAAACAAAUAAUUAAAAAAAAUAAAGAAUGAAAAAAAAUUUUGAUAAAAGAAUUGCGUGUGGACCCUAAAGGGAAAGCUUGACAAAGUAUUGAUCCAAAAAACUCUCUAUGUCAAUAGCUUUAAUCUGUUGACUUGCGUGCCUAAAACGAAACCGCAAAGCAAAGGGCCACCAAGAUGGGUGACGAUUGGUGACGGACGUGACGGUGUACACUCAUCUCUUUCUUGGCACAUUUUGGUUGGUCCACCUCUUGCAUCAUCUUUUGUACGUAUAGCAUGUGAGGGUGACCCAACUACCUGAGUGGCCCAAAAUCCCAAAACCUUGAUAUACAUGAGCGAAAAUCACACCAUCUGUUGUUUUAAUAUUUUCUCUAUCGUGUUUUUAAGAAUUAUAAUCUAUAUUUUAAAUUUAGUGUACUCGUGAUGUUUUAUAUCCUAAAUCAUUUUAUAAUUUAAUUAUUUUAGACUAACCAAUAAUAUAAAUUAUAAUUUUUAAGAGCAAGAAAAAUAAAUAUAAAAACAACAAAACUAUAGAAAAUAAGAGGGAUUAAGUGAUAUGAUCCAAGAAAAGAUUGAAUAAGAGAAUUCAGAUUCUAACAUAACUAUGUAUGUUAUCUAGUUUUACUAUAUCAAACAUAACUUUUAAUCUGAUCGUUGGAUUAAUAUAAUUUUACCAGGAGUUUCCAUACAUAUUUUUCUACAUUGGAUUACAAUGUUAGGUUAAUUAGACUUCUAAAAGGUAUCACUAUAUAGGUCGGAAGAUAUAAUACGAAUUUUGUUAUUUGUUGCCUUUUGACUUGUGAACUUUCUAUUUGAAGAAUAUUAUUUUCCUAAUAAUAUAAGGAUAUUCAACUAAUUUUGAAACUUUUUCUAGUUGUACAAGGAUCUUUAAUGGACAGCAACAUAGUUCCCAAGUGUAAGAAGAAUUUCUUUAAUGUUCUAAAUUCCUUUUCUUACAAGGAUUCUUGGGCUGAUUUUUUCUAUGAAUAGUUUUAUACUGGCAAACAUAAUUUUUUAUUCAAUCAUUGGAUCAGAUUGAAAUUUCACCUUAUGUUUCUAUAAGUCUUUUUUUUAUAUUAGAUUAAAAUUUUAAAUCAAUCCAAUAUUAGGAAGGCCUUGUGAUAAGAUCCAGAAGCUACAAUGUGAGAUUUAUAAUAGUUUUCUGGUUGAUUUGCAAAAACCUAUCCUGUAUAUUUAGGGUUUUAAGAAAAGAAUUUGAUAAUUUAAAAGAACUAUUAUAUAAAUGCAAGCUUUAGAUAAAGAUGUGCAACAACGUUGAAAAGAUAAACGAGAAAAACAAUGGUUGCUUAUUUCAGACAAAGUUGUUGGAGGUGAGUGUUAGCAAGAAAGAGGUUCAAAGGCUUAAACAAUGGGUUAUGAAACAUCUAUUGUACCUAUUGGUGAUACGAGGAUGAAUCAUCUUGAAGAGAGAUGAAAUGAUAUGAUCCAAAAAAGGGUUAAACAAUGAAAUUUUGAUUCUAGCGUAAUUAUGUCUACUGUUUAAUUUUAUGCUAUAAAGUAUAACUCUCAAUUUGAUAGUUGAAUCAAGCUUAAAUUCUACCAAGAGUUUUUGGACAUAUUAUUCUAUAUUGAGUUAAAAUUUCAGAUCAAUUGGAGAUCUUAAAGGUAUCGCGAUACAGGUCAGCAUAUCCAAUAUAGAUUUUAUUAUUUGUUGUCUUUUAACUUGUGGACUUCCUAUUUGAAGAGAGUUCUUUUCCUAAUAAUACAAGGAUAUUUAGCAGCUAAUUGAAGACUUUUUCUAGUUCUACAAGGAUUUUUAAUUGACAGUAACACUGUUUCCAAGUGUGACAAGAAUUCCUUCAAUGUUCCAAAAUCCUUUUCUCACAAGAAUUAUGGGGUUGAUUGCAUAAUUUUAUGUGAACUAAUAUAUUUUUUAUUCAACCAUUGGAUCAAAUUGAAAAUUUACCAGAUGCUUCUAGAUGUCCUAUUUUAUAUCGGGUUGAAAUUUCAAAUCAAUCCAACACCGGGAAGGCCUUGUGGUAUGGCCUGAAAGCUAUUGUGUAAAAUUUAUAUUAGUUUAUUGUUUGAUUUAUGAUUCUUUUUUUCUAUUGUAUUUAGAACUCUUUAUUUUUUUAUUUUUAGAAUUGUUAGGAUAUUUUUUACUAGGGUUAUUUUGAUUAUACUUCGGUUUUUUUAGCUUUUAAGACAUGAUGUUUUGAAUAAACUUGUGUUUUGCAUGAUUAAUACUUUUCUCUUUGAUUAAACAAAUAAUAAAUUUGACUUAUAAAGGUAUAACUGACCUUAAGUAUUUAUUUUAUACUUCUUGCUUGUGAAUUGAUAUUUAUUAGGUAAACAUUUAUUCAAUUAGUGUUGAUAUUUUGAUUCAGAUAAUUUCUAUAUCAUACUCUUAAUAAAUCAUUUUUUUUUUUUAGCUUUGUGACUAUUUCCUUAAUCUCUUCAUAUUAAAGAGGAAAUGAGUAGAAGCUUUCAAAGGACAAGGAUCUAUUUCUCCUUUUCUUUCUAGAAACAUUGUAAUUGUUUUACUUUUCAAAAGUUUAGAUAAAUAAUUGUCAUAUAUAGACAGACUCUCCUUUUCUUAUUGUAUAAGUAAUGAUUCAGAUUCUAUUAUAAAUACUAUAUAUUUUUUAUUUUAUUGAACAAAUUAACUAUAGUUUUUGAAUUUAUGAUGUUGAUGCAAAUCCAACGCGUUCACAUUAUAUGAGUGUUUGUUUUUGUGUUAUAAUUUGUUAUUCCAAAUAUUUUAAAAAUAUUUUUAGGAGUUUUUGAUGUGUUACUAUAAAAAAAAUCUAAAAAAAUCAUUUUAAUUAAUUUUUAAAUAAAAAACAUUCUAGACACAACACUAAACAAACAAUUACAUCACUUUAGUGCUUCCAACAGGGAUACAACCUUGACGUUAGUGCUUACUUUUCCCCUCUAUUUUUAUUACUAUUUAAUUUUUUUGUGGACAAAAUCUAAUUAUUUAAUUUGAUAAAUGGAACCUAACUUUACGUUUUAUCCAAACAAAUAAAUAAUUGGGUGACAUUUACGUACUAGCAAUAUAGUAUAUAUUCGCCUUAAUCUCAGCCAUGAAAAAUGGUGACCAUGAUGUCAUCUACCCUUCCUCGCAAGUCAUAAAAGGAAUCUAUGAAUAAUAAAGAAACAUCCAUGUACCCCGUGACGUCAUUCUAUAUAAAAAUCUAACUUCUUUAAUAGAGACUCCACAUAAUAAAACAAAAUGAUAAUUUGGAUUGAUAUAGCGUUCCAUGUAACUUGCAACAUUGCUAAUAAAUUUUUUUUAUUUUGGAUGAGUUUUGCUUGGAAAAAAUAUUAAAUUUAUAUAUUUUUUAAUGUUUUUAAUAUAUUUUUAUUUAAAAAAUAUUAAAAAAAAUUCCUUUCACUACAAUACUAAACACACACGUUCUAAAUUAUAACUUUUAUAAUACAUUUAUAUAAAUAUUAAUAGAGAUGAUAAUGAAUAUAUAUGAGUCUAGUUUUUAUAAUAUUCAUAUCAUAUUUAAUACCAAACUAAUAAGAAAUUUAAAUAUUUAUGAUUAUUUUUUUAAAAAUAGAUUUUUGUAAGAAUAUAUAUGACUUGGAUUAAAUUUGAUAUGAGUAUUUAAAAAAACUUAUUUAUUUAGAUUAAUUUAGAUCGAUAUCCUUUAAAUUCAGAUAAAAUGGUGAUGUUUCAUGGGGUGAGACAGUUGGCUACUAUUGGGACAAAUGGAAUAGAUGACUCAGAUUCAACCUCGUGCCUUGUACAAGCCUAUAGAAAACAUUAUCUUCUAAUGGUUCGGAUAAUAUUAAAUUUAUAGUUUUUAGUGUUUUUUAAUAGCUCUUACAUGGUAUAUUAAAAAUAAAAAAUCUUAAGAAAAUUAUUUUAAUAUAUAUUUUUUUAAAAAAAUAUUUUUAAAAAUCACCCUAUAUAAUACCAAACACACUCUUAAUUAUAGUUUUUAUAAUAUACUUGUGUAAAUAUUAAUAGGGAUGAUAAUGAGUAAAUGUUGGUCUGGUUUGUACUAUAUUCAUAUCACAUCAAGUACCUAUUGAGUAAAACUUUUUAAAUAUUCUUUAAUUUUUCUUAGAAAACAAAAUUUAGAUAUUUACACGGAUAUAUAUAUAUAUAUAUAUAUAUAUUUGGAUUGAAUUUGAUAAUAUUUAUGUUGUAUUUAUUGUUCAUAGAGUAAAAUAACUAUUUAAAAAAUCUUAUUUAUUUAGAUUAAUUUAUAUCCAUAUCCUCGGAAUUCUGAUAAAAUGGUGAUGUUUCAUGGGGUGAGACAGUUGCCUCCUAUUGGGACAAUUGGAAUAGAUGACUCAGAUUCAACCUCGUGCCUAUAGAAAACAUUAUCUUCUCUAAUCUCUUUUUCAAUGGCUUCCUGAUCUUAAUUCUUAAUUAAAGCUCACAUGAUUGGAAAAUUCAACACCCUCGACUCCUUUUUCCUCUUUGGUUUGGCCGACUUCUUCAGCCGAACUUUCCAGGCCACCCCUUCUCCCUGUCCCAGCUACAACCUCCACUUUCCUCUUUGGUUUGGCCGGCCGACUUCUGCACGUAUGGAAAUAUAUACACACACACACACACACACACACAUACAUGAAUUUGUGUAUCCACUGCAGGUAUUAGAUAUAUGGCGACUACCAUGACGAUCAGAUGGAAGGACGAGGAAGAACAGGGAAGAACACGAAUGGCCUGUCAACGUGACAGAUGCUGUCAUUUUCUGCAGUUUUUUAAGAAGAAGAAACGAAGCUUUCUUGAAAGGGAUCAUAAGCACGAAUCGCAGUAAAAUAAAGAGUUUGUUAAUUUGCCUUUACACAAAAGAUUUUCAUUUGCGCAGCUUCCAAUAUUUCAAAGGUACUUUUCCAUCAUGCUCAAUUGCUUCAAAAGCCAGGAGUUGAAGUAAUUGACUAUGGAGGUUUUUCCCAGCUGUGUUCAACAUCCUCGCGCAUAUGACAUUAAUGCAUAAAAAAACAAUCCAUCGUGACGUCGUUCGUGUUCUGAAUAUAUGCCUCCGAAAAGAUAUACGACAAAGUCUUGCGAUCUCCGCUGCUCUGGAUGCAAAGUCAAACUUCUCAUAUUACAACCCUCUCUUACACCAACUUACACUGCUCGUUGCAUAAAAAAAACUAUAUUCAACAAGAAAUUCAAAAGAUUAUAUUAAACAAGAAAUUCAAUCCCUUCAUGUAUUGCAUCAUCUUCAAAAUUUGAUUUCUUGAACCUUCGAAGCCUUCAAUUUACUCGGUAUAAUCUCCUUCCUCGAAACUUACUCUUUGAGGAGGAGGGGUACUUGGAAAGAAAAACUAGUGUUAGAUUUAGAUUUGAUGGUGAUUAACUUGCAAUUUGGUCAUAUUGUAUCCAUACACUUGCAACUAUAUAUUUCAAUCCCAUGUACUUAGAGGGUGUUUGAGAGUGUGGUAGUGGUUGCUUUUCAAAUAGUUUUUCGUGCCGAAAAGCAUGCCAAUAAUGUUUUUUCAUUUUUUAAAAAUCAUUUUCGAUAUCAGCACAUCAAAACGAUCCAGAAAGUACAAACCGCAUUCAAUUUUAGCAAAAAAAAAAAAAAAUUGAAAUUUUGCAAAAAGCCGUUUGAACCGCAGUACCAAACGGCCUCUUAGUUUGUGAUCUAAGGUGAUAGCUAGUAAUGAUGAUAAUGAGAAUUGAAGUCUCAUUCCUAAUUAAAAAAUAUUUUAUUCAAAAAAAGAAAAAGAAAAAUUGAAAUAAUAGGUGAGAAUAAGAGUUAAAAUAUAAUAAAUUUCCGCUAUUCUUAUUAUUAUUAUUAUAUAUUCACCACUAUACUUAUUAUUAUUAUUAUAUAUUCAUCUACUAACACCACCUCAAGCGAUAAAAAUAUAAUUUAUUUUUAUUUUUAUUAAUACACAAACCUAAAAGUACUAUUUUAAAACCCGACCUGAUCACUUGAAAGGUUGAUCCAUGAUUUGAGUGACCUAGAGUCUAAGAUAGGUCGAGUUUUAAUAAAAAUCAAAGAGGAAUUGAUCUAAUAUAACCUGGUUAAAAACCUAGGUUAACUCAUGGCCUAGUAUGUUAAGGAAAAAUCUGGUUAAAACUUGUUGAUUUUUUUUCCCUUUAAAAUAAUGUCCUUUUUAAUUUUUUUUAAAAUAACAAAGAAUGGGUUGAACCAAGUCAAUCUACUCAACUCACCUAAUCUAUGACCUAUUAUUUAUCUUGAGUCGAUCUCCGAGUCAGGUUUAAAAAUUAUGACUAAAAAAAUAUAUAUUUUUAUUGUUGGUUAGUUUAUAUGUACUCAUUGUAGAUACACUAUUCAUAGAUAAAUUGUAACGAAUACUUUUUUAUUUUGGUAGCUAAAUUUUAUAUUUAUUCAAUUUUAUUUUUUUUAUGUGAUGUUUGUGAUAUUUGAUACGGUGAUAUCUUCUUCUCCGUACAUAUUCUUUAUCAAUCAAGUUGUUUAAUGAAAUUUAGAAUUGAAUUCAAUUUGAUUAUACACGAGAAGAAAAAAAAGAAACUAUAAUUUAUAUGUUCUAUUUGCAGAACAAACAUCAGCAAAUACGUACAAUGCAAAGUCAACCACAUGUAUCAAAUAUCAAAUGGACUUCAAAAUUUAAAACGUCUUGUUGGACGCCAGCUGCUAGGAUUGCUGGUUCCUACCAAGCCAUCGUAUAUACGUGUACGUUUGCUUUGUUCAAGGCCUAUGAUUUCCUCUUUUUUUAACAUAGAAAGAAAUAUUACUGGAUGGAAAAAUAUUUAUGUAAUAUUCCUAUAUUAAAAACUUAAUUAGCUUGCAAUUUGGUCAUAAUGUCUCCAUCAACACAUGCAACAUGCAACUAUUCAUUUCAAUCCCACGAAACUGAGUUUGUGAUCUAAGGUGAUAUUUAGUAAUGAUUAUAAUAAGAAUUGAAGUUUUCUUCAAUUCCUACUUUAAAAGAAGUUUGAAUAAAAAAAAUAAAAAGAGAAAUUGAAAUAAUGGGUGAGGAUAAGACUGAAAAUGUAAUAUUUUUUCGUUGUGAUGGGAGAAAAAAUUAAAAGUUAAUAGCAAGCUUUUUUUUUUUCAAGAUUAACAAAUUAUUAUAAUUGGUUGAGAAAUGUGGUCAAACAUGUUGACUUUUUUUAUUAUUUUUUUUCGAAAUGAUUUCAUUUUUGCCUUUUCAUAUAAUAAAAAUGAAUUUGUUGACCCAACUUAAUCCGGUCAAUCCACUUAACCUAUGACAUGCCCUGAGUUAUCCCGUAUUAGUUUAAAAACUAUGACUAAAAUAAUAUAUACUUUAUUUGUUCAUUAGUGUUUAUUUAUUCAUAAAGCACUGUGGAUAUAAUGUUUAUAGAUAAACUGAAAUGAAUUUUUUUUUAUUUAUUAUUUUUAUUUUUAUCAUUGAAUUUUUUAUUUUUUUUAUUUCAUCCUUCCAUAUCAUAUUUUUGAUAUUUUAUGUGGUGAUACUUUCUUCUGCUUGCAUAUUCUUUAGCAUUCAAGUUCUUUGAUAAAAUUUCAUAAUUUAAUUAGAGGUCAAUUUAAUUAAAUAUGAAUUAGAAUUGUCGUAUUAAAAACAAUUAAAAGAAGGGGGAAAAAUAAGGCUUUUCUCAUCUUCAUGCGAAAACAUCAUUUCCAUCCUAAAAGUCUUCAUUUAUGCAUUUUUAGUCCUUUUAAUUUUAUACUUUUAUUUUUAGUUCCUAAUUUUUUAACGUUUUAGUCCUUUAUUUUUUUUUAUAGAGGAGUGAGAAAGUUGUUGAAAAAUGGUGGAAGAGAGAGAAAGUAGUCGGUUAACCAUAUUUCAAUAACAAAAAAAAAAAAAAACUGAUAUUGGUUUCAAUAGAUUCCUCUUGACAAGAGAUAUACUAUUUAAUUUUUUUUGAACUUUAAUCUAACCGGAAAAACAAGAUCAGGAUAGGGAUAUAUUUUUUUAUUUGAUUUCAUUUUGGACUUUUUAAUCAAUUUAAUGGUGCUUUAAAAUUGAAAAUGAGUUUAUUAAUGUCGCGGGGUGCCCACCGAUGUGACGUCGUCUGGUGACGACAGAGGCUCUUGUCGUGCCUCCUGAUGAGGUGUUGUGUGUUGGGAAGGGUUUUUGGAUUUAAUCAUGAACUUAUGAUUAAUGUUUAAGAGUCGCCUUUUAGUAUUAUAAUUACUAGAAACCUAUGGUCUGCAAGAGUUUGGGUUAAGGACUGGUUGUGCAAGGAAAAUACGCAUUACCCCUAGUGCACCCUACCUAAAGUAAGCUACAUUGUUGUUUAAUUAUUUUUUUCUGAGUCGGGUUUCUAUUUGUUGGUAUUUUCUGAGGUUCAAGGCAGAUCUCUCUUCAUGAGAGAGUCUCUACCUUAUCGGCUUAAAUCCUAACCGUUCAAAAGUAUGAAUUUUAGCAUUGCAUUUUUACAACUUAUAUCUUUAAUACAUGAGGGUGUACUUUAUCUUGUAAUUUUACACCUCACAAAUAUUAAAGUCUACAUCAGGAUUCUAAAAAAAAGAUUGGAAAAAGAUUUUUGACAUGUUGGCCAAAUGCUAAUGAAUAAUCAUAAACUAGUUAUGAUAUUUAUUUUUGACGAAAAAAAAAAUUAACAUGAAAAGGAUGCAAUUUUUGUUUUUUAUGAAGAUAUGCUUGGAAAAUUUUUAGGAUUUGGCCGUAUACAUGAAAAUAAAAUAUUUUUUGUUUGUUUUGAAAAAGAGAAAUUAAUUUAAAAGUUUUUUGAGAUUUUUUUUUUGGAAAUAUUUCAAUUGUUUUUUGAAAUAUUUUGUAGCAAACAGGGUAUUUUAAUACCAGAUUUGUAUUUUACAAUGUAAAUAAACAACUCGAUAUCAUGCAAAAUGGGUAGAAAAAUAUACGAGAAAAUCACAAUUUUUUUAAAAAGGGUUCUAGAAUUUAUUUUUAUUUUUUUGGGGUCGGGUUUAAAUGUUAAUUAUUUUGCAGAACGUGAACAGUAGUUCACGUUCUGCAUUCAACUACACAAUUGCGGACGAUGGGAGAGAAAAAUGGGAGGCGACCUGGCGGAGGGGAUGGAGAUGUUGUUACUGGCCUAGAGUGAAGUGGGUGGAGGUGCUGGUGGCCAGAGUCGGCUGCGGGAGGAGAAAGGUUUAUAUGGGGUCUUCAUAGGAUGAAGACACGGUGGAGAGAGAAAGAGAUAAGAAAUAUGCAUAAACCGAAAAAAGCUGGUGUUUUGGCUGACUUUGGACCCAAUUUUCUCCCCCUUCAGGCAAUGAAAUCCACCUCUAUUUACAGGCAGUGGAAGAGGGCAAUCUUGUCUCCACUUGAGAAAAAUUGCAGCCCUUGAUUCAAUUGGUAAGGAUCCCAACUGUUAGCUCAAAGUAGGCAUCUUGAGUUGUCAAAUCUGCAGGAAAGGCUUACUUAGUUGGCCUUUUUAGGCCGACGUCGGAACCAAUGGCUUGUCAUUCAUCUUGAACGGCCUAUAUGGUGCUAUAGAGAAAUUACAGAGAAUCAUUUAUGUGCAAGAUUUGUUAAUUUUUAUUGACGUUAGAUGCAUUAAAUGCAUUUGUAAAGUAGCCUUCCUAAGUUAUCAUUUCAGAGAUUUAAGAAGAAGAUGAAUGGUACCAAAGUUUUGUUUUGGCUAAAGUUCAUUUCAGUCCUCCCUCUUUAAAUUUGAUUGAAUUGCACCUAUAAUUGACUCUAAAAGUUCAAUUUUUUUAUGAUUUUUCCCCUGAUUUCAAUCAAUUAACUUGGUAAAAAAUAAAUUUGGUCUCUUAAAAUUUCAAUCUUCUCAAUUAAGCCUAAAUUAGGCUCCCAAACUUAAUUUUUCACAAAUUAAGCCCCAAAUAAAAUUAAUUUGACCCAUUUAAAGUAUAAUUAAGUCCUUGCACAUAAUUAAAUCCUUCAAUUGGACCCAAAUUAAUUCUUAAACAUAAUUAAAAUUUAAUUUGUCCUAUGAUUAAAUCAAAUUGACCUAUUAAAAAUUUAAUUGUGUCAUUGGAUUUAAUUUUUAUGCAAAUUCGUCCAAUAAUCAUUCAAUUUGACCUUGAAUUUGCAUUUUUCUUCAUCUUAGGCAUAAUAAGGUGCCUUAAAAUUUCUUUCAAAAUUAUGGCUUUCUCCAUGUUGCCAUCCUUUAUUUUAUUUUUUGUGUUGUAUUUUGAAAAACAAAAUUGAAUUUUGGAGAAUAACCAAUAUUUGGGUCAUGAAUUUUGCUUAUGAUCAAAACUAUUGUCAUAACCCAAUUCUGGGUUAUUCCCCAAAAAUAACUUCUUUUUCAAAAUAAAAAUAAAAAAAUAAAAUAAAGGCUAGUAAUAUGAAGAAAGUAGGCCGGGGAAUUAAGCUGCAAUUUUUUUAAAGGAAAUUCAAGGCCUAAUUGUACCCCAUUAUGCCCAAAAAAUGAGAAAACAAUGCAAAUUCAAGGUCAAAUUAAAUGAAUAUUGGACGAAUUUGCAUAAAAAUUAAGUCCAAAGACAUAAUUAAAUUUUUAAUAGGCCAAUUUGAUUUAAUCAUGGGCCAAAUUGAAUUUUAAUUAUGUUUAAGAAUUAAUUUAGGUCCAAUUAGAGGGUUUAAUUAAGUGCAAGGACUUAAUUAUAUUUUAAAUGGAUCAAAUUAAUUUUAUUUGGGGCUUAAUUAGUGAAAAAUUAAGUCCAAGGACAUAAUUAAAUUUUUAAUAGGCCAAUUUGAUUUAAUCAUGGGCCAAAUUAAAUUUUAAUUAUGUUUAAGAAUUAAUUUGGGUCCAAUUAAAUGAUUUAGUUAAGUGAAAGGACUUAAUUAUACUUUAAAUGGGUCAAAUUAAUUUUAUUUGGGGCUUAAUUGGUGAAAAAAUAAGUUUGGGAGCCUAAUUUAGGCUUAAUUGAGAAGAUUAGAAUUUUAAGAAACCAAAUUUAAUUUUUACCUAGUUAAUUGAUUGAAAUUAGGGGUCAAAUUGCAAGAAAAUUAAAGUUUUGGGGUUAAUUAGGGGUUAAAUUGAAGAAAUCCGAGACCAAGGACUAAUCUGCAACAGGCGGCAAACUAUGGGGGUUCAAUUGACAAAAACCGAGGGUGAAAUUAAAGAAAUUAAAAGUUUCAUGAUCAAUUAGGGGUUAAAUUGAUAAAAUCCGAGACCAAGGACCAUUUUGUAAAAGGUGCUUAACUUCGAGGUUCCAAUUGAAGUUCAUCAGGGGCUUAAUUGCAUUAAAUCAAAAGUUUAGGGUCAAUUGAGGGUCUAAUUAAACUCAAUUGAAAGAUGGAGGACUAAAUUGAAAUCCAGUUUAAAUCCCUAAUUCAAACCCAAAACGGCGUCGUUUUGAAUAAAUAAAAAAAGAGGACCAGACGACAUUGUCUUCCCUGUUUUACCCGAAAGAAACAGCGUGGGAGCCUACUUUGUAGGUGCAUUUAAUGCUUGAUUUCUCCAUCAAAUCAAACAAAUCUUGCAUGAAACGAAUCCCCUGCAGUUCCUCUACAACCCCAUUUAAUGACAGCACGGCGACGCCGGUGACAGCGUGAAGAGGUCAACUCAGGCAACCUUUAUCUGCAGAUUUGACAACUCAAGGAGGCUGAAAUUUUACCAACGAUUAUGAUCCUUCCCAACCAAAUCAAGGGCUGAAAUUUUACCCCGGUGUAGAAGAGAUUACCCUCUUCCACCUCUAAAUAGAAGCUCUGUUGAUGACCUGAGGGAGAAGAAAAUUGAACCCAAAGUUGGCCGAAAACCAGCCUUUCCUGCUCAUUUUUCCUGCAACCGUCCAUUCUCUGCUUUCUCUCUCCACCGUGGCCUUCAGCCAUCACCACCUUCAUCAGUCGUCCUCUCACCAUCAUCCCCACCUCAAGUAGCCCUCAAACCACCUCACGUGGUGGUUGCACCACUUCUCUCUCUCCCCUCUGUAAAAAUCUUCUUCUUUGCCACUGUGACCCUAGCAGCGGCAGCAGUAGCAACCACCUCGCCCAGAAGUUUCUGCCCUUCCCAAAGACCGCCAGGACAACAGCUCUCUCCUCAGCCGCUCCAGCAGUUCCAACCGUGAGCUUCCCUUCUCCUUUGCAGGGGUCUUCUUCUUCCAGCUGCGGCCCCAGCCCACCGUUGGCAUCACGACCUCCAGUUGUACCGUUCGCCACCAGUCAGGCCGCCAGCUCCUUCAACGCCAGGUGAGUCUCUUUCUCUCUCUUCUUCUUCUUCUUCUCGUCACUAUCAUUGUUGCACGUGAACAGUGCAACAUGAAUUAAUUCACGUUGCACUGUUCCAUGCAACUUAGUCACUGGGCUGCCCAGUGACUAAGUUGCUACGGGCUGGACCUGCUUUAGCCAGCUCAGGUGGAUGGGCCGGGUCCAGCCCGUCCCUAAAAUGCAGGAAGAAAAUAUAUUGGCCCGAGUCUGGCCCAAUCUUUUUGGGCCCAUAAUUAACACACUUGUAUUUGGGCUUGUGCUGGGCCCAGCCCACAUGCAUUGAUAUAUUUAAUUAUUUAAUAUAUAAUUAAAAAUAAAAAUAAAAUAAAAUAAACAAAAAUUUUCCAAAAAAUUUCACAAAUCCUUUCAAAAAAUUUGUAAUUUUCUCAAAUAUUUUUCUACCAAUUUUUUUCAAUAUUGGAUUGUAUACUUACACUGUAAGAUACAAAUCCGGUAUUAAAAUACCCGGUUUUCUCCGAAAUAUUAAAAAAAAUUCAAAAAAAAAUAUUUUAUUGCAUACGGCCAAAUCCUAAAAUUUUUCCAAACAUAUUUUUCAUAAAAAAAAAUGGAUAUUAUAACCAGAGUUUAUGAUUAUCCAUUAGGAUUUGGCCAACAUGUCAAAAAUCUUUUUUCCAAUCUUUUUAGGAUCCAGAUGUAGACUUUAAUAUUUGUGGGGUGUAAAAUUACACGAUAAAGUACACCCUCGAGUAUUAAAGAUACAAAGUGUAAAAAUAUAGACUUUAAAAUGAGUAGGAUUUAACCGAAUAGGGUAGAGACUCUCUCAUGAAGAGAGAUCUGUCUUGAACCUUAGAAAAGAUCAACUCGACUUAGAAAAAACAAUCAAACUACAAUGCAGCUUACCUUAGGUAGGGUGCACUGGGAGUGAUGUAUCUUCCCCUUGCACAACCAAUCCCUUACCCAGACUCCCGCAGACCAUAGGUUCCUAAUAACCAUAAUAGUAGAUGGUGAAUCCUAAAAAUUAAUUAUAAUUUAAUGAUUAAAUCCAAAAAAAAUUUCUCAACACACCACACCUCACACAAGAGGCGCAACAAAGCGCCUCCGCCAUCGCCAGACGACGUUGCGUUGGCACGCCCCCACGACUCCUAUCACAAUCUUUUUGAAAACCUUUUUGAAUCCUUUUCCUAAUACAAUAUCUAACUUAAUCAUUUUAUGGGCUCAAGAUCAAAUCCAAUCUUUUUACAUAGAAGAAUGACCAAACCUUCCACUUAAUAUUUUAUAUGACACAAGAUUAGAAAACCCUUCCUCACCAAUACUUGUUGAUAGACAAGUAUCAAACCACUUCAAUAGCCUUUAGAAGGCUUUCUCAAGUGUUUUAAAUGUUACUUACACUUUUCAUAAUAUUACACUCUUAAUAAUAUUGGGUGUAAUACAAAUGUAGCAUUUGAAAGAGUUUUGCCCCAAACACUUCAACCCUAUUUUGGAUUAACCAAGAGUAUAAAAAAGGUUGUAUGAAAGUAGGAAUUUGAUCAGAAUCUUGCCUUAGAUGUCGCUUUUCAUUUUUCUAAAGAGAUGGGGUUUUAUGGGCAAAAAGCUUAAACUAAAUGUUGGAUAUGACUUCUAACAAUUAUCUACCCUUUAUAAAAUCAGUUGAAGCGUUGUUAAGCAUGUUAGACCGUUACGAAAAAUUUAUAAAAUUUUCAAGAAAUGGUUGGAUCAAUUCACAAAAUGGUUAAACCAUUUUGAAUAAUUUCUGGAGUUUCUAGAAAACAGUUGGGUCAUUUUUCAAAAUGGAAAGAUUGUUUUGCCUACUAGAACUUUUCUUCAGUUUUAUGUGUUUUUGGUCUUGUCUUGGUUUUCUUGUGUUCUUCUGGGUUUGUUUAGGUUUUGUUGGUGUGGAAGCUAAUUCCUAAAAAACAAAAAUAUAUUUGGUAAAUCCUCUUUAUUAUAUCUUAUGUUUUGAAGUUGAAAGUUGUUAUUGCAUCAAGAUUCUUGUUUGAAAUUGAAAAUUGUUAUUGCAUCAUUUCAUGUAUUAAUGCCUUGCUUCUUUGAUAAUUUCCCUGAAUCGGGUAACCUAGAUUAACAUGUUAAAAACCCAUAAACCAAGUCAUAGACUCCCUUAAGGCUAAUAACUUGUGUUUUUAAAACUAUUGUUUAUUUACCAAUAUGAUGAUAAAAAUAAAAGAUCACAAAAUCGAGCAUUAAUUCAAUACUGAUACUUUUUCUUAAGAUCACGAUAGCCUCAUAGAAAGGAAAGUGACAAAUUAUGAAAUUCAAUUCUCAAUUAGUUAAUGUCGAAAUAUUAAAUUGAAAAAAAUAAUUUUUUUCCAAAAAAAAAAAAAAGUUAAACCCACCAAACUCAUGAAAAUAUCUAUGGACUUUCAAAAAUUUAAUAACACGGUUUUUUUUCGAAACAAUUUUUUUUAAUUACAUGAUAAAAAAAUAUACUUUCACAAAAUAAAGUUCAAUUAAAAAAUAUACCCUACCAAACUUACGAAUCGGGGAAACCCGAGUUACCACGUCAAACUUACAAAUCGAGUCACUGACUCCACAAAGUUUAAUAACUUAGUUUUUCAAAAAAUUAUUUUUAUUUGACUAAAUUUAAAAAAAAAACACACCAUAAUACUGGGAUAUUUUUCCGAUUUCAACCCAAUGCUAAAAUAUUUUUCUAAUACAAUUAUAACCAUAUAUAAAAUUAAAAUAAAAUAUCAGCUCUAAAUUAUAAUAAACAUAUAACAUAAAGACUAAAAUAAAUAAAAGAAUCAUAACCAAAGAAAAAAAAAUCUGGAUCGAAAUGCAAUUUUAUUUUAUUUUAUGCUUUUACAAAACACUCCACACCCUUACCGUUGUAAUUCACAAUAUUUAUGAGUGUGGAGGAAUAGUGUUUUCCCAAGAACUUAGUAAAAGUAUGAUUUCUUUUAAUUUUAUUAAUGAAAGAAUGAAACGUUAUGAUUGGUAGAAAAGAAAUAGCUAAAAAAAAUUAAAUCAGUAGAUGGGAAAAUUUUAAAAUUUAUCCUUGUUUUUGUGUCAAUUAAUCAUUUAUCUACUUUUAAUUUAAUUAAUUAAUUUGUAUGUUCUUUGAAUUUAUAUUCUUGAAUUUUGUACUAUUAACCUUUGUUCUUCGAAUUAAUUCAAUUAACUCAAUAGUUAAUUUCUAUCAAGUUUCAACAUAAAAUAUGCAUGCUAAUAAGAGAUGACUUUCAUAUUUAUAUAAGAUUUAUAUCACCAAUUAAUUGUCUUACAAAAUAUAUUAAUGUUAAUAUUUUUUACAAAAAUUCGAGAAAAUAAAAGGUGAUAUCAUAAAUGAAAAGUACUUAAUGAUAUCACUUCUUAGUGCAUAAUUAAUAUUGAUAUAGAAAUAAAUAAUUAUUUAUUUAUUGAGUUAAUUGGAGAGAAUGUAUAGAAAUAAAUAAUUAACGAAUACAAAAGGGUAAAUUCAAGAGUUUUAUACUCAAGCCCUUGUACUUAUUUAUAUUUAUAAUUUUUACAUUAUGAUUAAAUUUUUAUUAUAUUACAUAUAUGAUAUAUAUAUUUUUUUUAAUUGAAACAAAUGUUUAGAUAGUUAUUUAAACCAUUUUUUUUGUUAAUCUUUGCACUUACAAUCUCUAUAAUAUUAUUGAUUUAAAGAAAAAAGAUAUUUAUGAUGCCCAGCUUUUAUAUAUAAUUUACGUUAUAAUAUAUAUUCAUAAACAUAAUAUAAAUAUUGUACAUAUAAUAUAUAGAUAUAUAAUCUUGUAGGGGUAAGAUAUUUUCAAUAUGAAAUUGUUAAAUAAUGUGUACGUGAAACCCAAAAUAAAAUUUUUCAGGAAAAAAAAAACCAGAUGAGCUAACGUGUUUUAAGGUCAGAUAGAUGCAAAAAGUUUUAUGAAAAUAUUUUUAUAAAAGAUUUUUUACAAGAGAGUUUUGGUAAUUAUACCAAAAUAUUUCCCAGAAAGCAUGAUUUGUAUUGUCAACUUAUGGAAGCGUAAUGUCAUUACAUGUAGUUUGUUCAUGUAUGCGAAAUUUCCUGCAUUAGACGUAAAUUUAAGCUACGCUCAUCUCAUAAGCCCAUUGAUAUGCUGUACUAAGUGGUUAGAUACAAAGUAUAUGUGGUUUACGACUUUUUCUUUCUUUCCAUUCAAGUGCUAGUAUUGAUUUUGUUUUUAUGUUAUAGGUAUCUGUUUGUGAUGGAUCAUUAUAAAUGUUAUUUGUGAUUAAAGUAUAUAUUUAAAAAAUUUAAAAAUAAAGUAAUAACUAAACUUGAGAGAAUAUUAUGCUCAAAUGAUGUGGACAUGACCUUACCUUUAAACUCAAUAUUCUUAAAUUCAAUUAUAUUAAAUUAUACAUGUAGAUCAAACUUAUACAUGUAGAUCAAACUCAAUGUUACAUCUCACUCAAUGUUCUUGAGAGAUGUUAAACUCAAUAUUCUUGAAAACAGCUACGCACUCGGUCUAAAUAUUAAACCCAACAUCAUGAAUUCUACCGUGCAUUGAACCCCAGUGCAUUUGAAUAUAACAAUAUGACAUCCCAACAUUCUUGAGUUUAUGUAUACUUUAUGCCCAAGUACAUGCAUCCUUGUAUUCAAGCAUAUAUUGUGCCUAAGUACAUGUUGAUAUAGUAAUAUAUCAGACCCAACAUCUUUAAAAUUCAGCUAUGAAAGUAAAACAUGUGGAGGAAACUUCAGGAGCAUACAACACCAAAAAACCUGUUUGGUAAUAUAUCCAGUAGGUUUAUCCGUGCAAAUUCUGUGAUAUAUGUUUUGAUUGAUUACACAACAUGGCAUUAUUAACGAUAAUAAAUAAUAGCAUACAUAGAGACAGAGCUAAAAGAGUGUUUGCCACAAGUUUUCACACCAAAAAGCACGCAAAGCACAAAACAUUCUCAAAACGAACAAAAACCGAUUCUCCCGAGAAUUUAUUCAAGGUUCAGCAAAUACUUCCAGAAAUGGCAACGCCAUCACACAAUUUCCUGCGUAACGAUCAACAGCAAGAACAUUAGUAAACGCAUGAAGGCGUAUAUACUUAAUUAAUCUUGGACUUCUUUUUCAUCAAAUGAAAUCAUCUUGGAUUUGUGUUUUUAUAUAUGAUGUUUGCUUGAUGAAAAACAAAGAGAUAGUAAAUCUUAAAUAAGAAUUGUAAAUCCUUGUGUUUUGCUUGUUUAGAAACUUACAGUACUGAGCGGAAUGAUCUUCCAUUGUUGGUUAUCACCUUUGUUCCAUUUCCAGAGCACAAUAGUGGUACCAUCAUGAACCCCACCAGAUUUCUUAUCACCAUGAAAAGCAUCAACAUUCAGGUGGGUAUUGUUAACCAUCCUUACAGCUCUAAAACCAUCACCCAUGUCCUUGCUUUGGGUCCAUAGGAUAGACUCAUCAAGAACAUCUGGAUUGUAUGGAAUCAGCUGCACCUGCAGAAAUAUAAUUUCGGAACACGUUUGACAUUGUUGAAGGCAUAACAUUUUUUGCUCAAGAGGAAAAAAGGAUUAGGCUUUCAUGAGGACUUCCUCUUAGCUAUCAAAGCGCUCAAUUGUUUAUUUGUCAACUUAUGCCCACCAAAAGCAGGGACACAACAUAUUUCACUACAGGAUAUAUCCUACACCACGUGCACUGUAAACAAAUAUUUUGAAGGAAAAUCAUAACUUAUUUCAGUAACAACCUUACAAGAGUCUCUAAGUAGAGAAGUUUUAUUUGUCAAGUAUAUGAAAGAAAAUCAAGUUCAAGCUGAUUUAAAAUGUUUCUAUGGUAGUAAGCUCAAUUCCUCUAUGGUACCAUGGUACACCUGCAUGCAUGCCCACAAGUUGAAAGCUGGUAUAGAACAAUCAAGUGAUAGGCAAUAAGAGUUGUAUAUUAGAAGCCUUAAAAUGAUAUUUGGGUAGAUUAAGAAUGAGAGGAGCAACAAAGCCAUUGACACUAGUUAGCAAACAAUUCUAAAUUUGUGGCCUGGUCAUUACUGUGUUUACACCUACACCCCCCUCAAUAGAUUCCAAGCUGUGAAAUGUGGGAAGCAUGCUGGUUCUUUCUCAAUAAAAAGAAAAAAAAACAAGUAAUUUAAACACUAAAUACUUCAUAAUUUGUGACACCAGUUCUUGUCUAGGAUGACUAGCUUGGAUAAAAUGAAUAGGGAGAUUUGAAGGUUUGGUGCAUCAAAACCCAAAACAUGCAUGCUAAACAUGUUUUGAAUAAUCUGCAGGACAAUAAAUGAAGAAAUUCUACUCUGUUGUUCAAUCCAAUCUUACCACAUUAUGUUUCUGUGAGGCCUUAAAGAGGAUAUACAAUGUUGGAUCAUUUAUGGUCAUGAACAACAGUGGCAAGCAAUGUAUCUGAGAUCACAACUGAAAUUUACAGAAACUGUUGCCUUGUGUACAAUAUCCAGUCACAGUCUUAUCAGCAAUGCCCACACUUCCAAAGGAAAAGAAAAACAUCAACCUCUUGGUUUCCUAUAGAAUAUAGAGUUUUGGACAAUGUAUUAAAUCAUUAAAAGUAACUCUUGUUCACAUUUCAGUCCCAAAUUACCUUGAUCAGGUUUAAAAGCUGCUUAUACAACGUUGAGUCAAGCUCAUAAGAGCACCUUCUAUGUUUCCAAAACGCAUGGGCUAUUUUGACUCAGUAUCGAAGAAAACGAGAAUACACAAAUGCAUAUAUAAAAUGAAUUGAAACAAAGUCUGUCAAAAGAUGAUGCUUUACAAGGGCAUGUUUUCCGCAACUAAAGGUCAAGGCCAUGAGACAUGAAAAUAAAAGACAUAGAAGAACAAACUUUCAACAAGUUCAUGAUCUCAGAGAAUUUCUUACAGGGUUUGCCUCUCCAAUGGAAUGCUUUAUGGCCUGACCAGUGGCCUUGUUUACCAAAGCAAAGGCAGGACAUCCCUCCGAAUCCUUCACUCUUGUGCUGAACUUCUCAUCUUUAAACCAGUUCUAUAACAACAACAACAACCAGCACAAAUCAAACACAACUACAAAUAUGUAAAACUCCAAAACUCUGAAAUGGAAUAAUGAAAAACUAAAGCAAGCAGGUCUAAACAACUAAAAUGAUCAGUCUGCACAAGGAUCAUAUGAUUGUAAACAUUAACCAAAUAACCAAAGACAAGGACAAAAAAAUGUGAUCUUUUCAUGCUUAUGGAAUUUGAAUUACAAAACAAUGAUCAGAUUAAAUACUCGUGAGAAUUGUAACCAAACCAACCAAAAAACAAAUGCACAUAAAAAGACAAACCCAGAUUAUAGUAAUGUGAAUUUAAAAAACGAAACUUUAUGAAAUAGAAGCAAAAAUGUGCAAGGAAGGUAUUUUUAUAGACAAAUUGAGUUUGAGAGAAAGGAAAGUUUUCACUUUUACAUACUUGGAAUUCAUCAGAAGGAUUUGACCGAGCAAGAAUCACUCUUCCGUCCCUAAUAGUGAGGUGAAAAUCAGGUUCAGCUUUGCUGUAAACCUUGAAGCUAGGUUUAUUAUAAAGGUCAAGCCCAGAAGCAGAGCCAGAUUGAUGAGUUUGCUGGUGAAUGGAAGAUGGCAUAUGCGGCUUAAAAGACUGAUGGGUUUCAGUUUUUCAUGAAAACAUGAUUCACUUGUGUUGGGAUGGUGGUGAAGGUGCAUAGGUAGCUUCUUGAAAAUAUGGUCUUGGUGGUUGUGGAGGUUCUUGAUAGUAGUGUGAGGAGGGAGGUUGUGGUUGGUGGAAAGAUGGUGGUUGUGGAGGUUCUUGAUAGUAGUGUGAGGAGGGAGGUGGUGGUUGGUGGAAAGAUGGUGGUUGUGGAGGUUCUUGAUAGUAGUGGGAGGAGGUGGUGGUUGGUGGAAAGAUGGUGGUGUGGGGUAGUGUCUGGUGGCGG
rnacentral:lncRNA from 1 species